GACGGGCGCGCCCGCAUCGCCCAUAUUUUUUGUUUGUCCGCCAUCAUCGAAGAAUCAACUCUCUCUCCUAAAUCCUGAGGAGAGACCGAUCCAGUGCCAGUGCCAGUGAAAGAAGUACAACUAUGUAAAUUACCUGACCUUGGAAGAAUCGUUGUUGUUGUUGCCGGUGCCGGCCAUGUUUAAGUACAUGGCGGCACAUGUUGGUUGAGUUGUUACUUAUUAUUAGUAGGUAAGAGCAAUGAUGUAGGAGGUGGAGACAUAUGUUAAUGCUAGGUCUGUGACCUGUUUUAAGUACAUUUUUGUAAUGCUUGGUAGUGGUACUGUAAUGCGGCAGUAGCUGCUCCAUGUUUUGUCCCUUGUCCCUGAUGUAAAUGUCGUCGUCCUGCAGCAAAUGACUCUUCUUCUCUUACAUGGCCUGAUUACCAGUUGUGACGCAUGGUUCUUGGCAAGUCGGGAAAUGUGCACCGGGGGGUGCCUUUGACCGCCCAAGGCGACUGUUGCCCCCCUGAGGUCGUGACCAUCUCCCCCUUCCAAGGCCAUGUACAUCCUGCCACAGAAGUCUGCUGCUAAAAUUGACACGCUGGAGGCAGGUCAAUUGGGGUACCAACAAGUUUGCGAGGGCCUUUGGGUUGAGAUGGCCUUGCUGCGAGUGGAAGGAACCAACCAAGCUAUGGGUUGGAACGGGUAGUCCUUGCGAUGAGUUGGACCUUGACUUAUUCUAUGCUUCGGCCAUCAUCACCAUUGACAACGGUGCGUGAGCCCAUUUUUGGGACUACAAGUUUCAUUCACAAGGAAAAAAAAUGGAAGGUGUGAAGCUUUGAAGGAUGAUGCUUGACCAUCAUCACCAUUGACAACGGUGCGUGAGCCCCUUUUCGGGACUACAAGUUUCAUUCACAAGGAAAAAAUGGAAGGUGUGAAGCUUUGAAGGAUGAUGCGUGGAUUUUCAGGAUCGAAGUCUCCACCAACCUAAUCGUGGAUCAUAUCCAGGAGUCCAUUGUCCUUUGGGCGCUCAUCAAUGACUUCCUCAGUGAAAAUGUUGAGGGCGACAUUACUUGGAAGCAUACGGCGUGCAAGCACUAUUCGACAUGUCUGGCAAAAAUGGCCUAUGUGCACUUUGUAAAGAGAGCAAGUAUCCGUGUUACAACUUUUCACCAAGUGUCGGUUCAUCCCAAGGCUUUGGGGCUUGGUAAGGAGUGACUUCAAAUCGAGAGCAUUGACACGUUCACGUGGAGCUUGGAGCACUCUAUCAAGGAAUGGCGGCUCAGCCUAUCCGGCUUGCACGUCCCAAAUAGAAAAAAUUAUGAUCUUCCUUGCUAACUUUCCUUUCUUUGGUUGAACUAUUUGGAAUGAAAAGAACGCACAGGGUUUCCGCCACAAGUCCACAUCACUGUCAAUUUUUCUUGGCAUCAUCAAGAAUGAAGCUACGCUUGGGGCGAUCGUGGGGAAAAGAGCCGUUGGGUUCAAUACUACAGGGAGAGUAAUACAGUAGCUUUUUUUUUGGGUAUUAUGUUGCCGUGUAAACAAACUCUAUCUCUACUACCUAAAAGAAACGGAGUGUUCCGUCUCCCGUCUUACGUCGCCCACCCCUUCGUCCAUCCUCCUCGUACGACCCCUCCCCCUCCCAUGCUUUCAUCUUUGGUAAUCAAAUAAAUCUUAGUAAUAAUAAGAUCAAUCUUUCCUUUGGCAACACAAUAAAUUUUCGGACAGCAAUCAAUUUCUUCUUUGUAGUACAUGGUAAUACAAUAAAUUCAUGGGAAGGAAUAAAUCACAGUAGGUAAUCAAGCGAGGAGCCCGGCGGCCGCCUUCCUCUUCUGGUCUAUCCAUGCCUCCCGUUCGUGGAGCCCUCCUCACUUUCCGUUCCUCCUCUCCCAUGAAGCGCCGCCGCCCCAUUUCCUAUGUCCACCCGGACCGGCGCCGGCCGCACCCCAUCCCAUCCCCUCUCCUAUCUCUCCUAGAAAUCAUGGUGGGGGUGAUUGUCGGGACCCCUGUCUGAAGAACCGCGGGGCUACGCCGUCCAACGACGAUGGUCAAAGAUUUCGGCAGCUAGCCGUCGCCUGAAAGUGAAAGCGGAAGUUGGCCGGAGACCUCAAUGGUAGUGCAGCUUUUAUCCCCAACGGCCUCAUCUACCUGAUCUCUAACUCAUCCCGACCGACCACAAACGCCGGCAGGGGCAGAGAUUUUCAGAGUUUUGAGUUUACACUGAUCUCAUACGUGGGUUUACACUGGUAAGAGAUUUGCCGCCGGUCGAUCUCAAUGGUAGGCUUACACUGAUCUCAUACGUGGCGUGUUUUGAGUUUCACAUAUUGGUCUUCUAUCUACUGACGGAUUAACUCUUACACAGACUUUGCUAGAUUGUAGCAAAGAGAGGACUUGAAGCUGGGAUGGACCAAGGUUAAUCAAGGGAGCAUCAAGGUCUGAACGUGAUAAUUGACGAAAUAAUUGCACCAUAUAUAGGAAUGGCACUGAAUUUGUUAGGGGGUCAUUGCAGUUCUUGACGUGGCAUGAGGAGGAGAUCAGAGCUGUGGAUCAGUCCAGAUUCAGAGAAUGUGUGGUUGAUGGUUUGCACCCGUCCAAUUCAACCAAAAAGGCCUGCAAUGCGCUGGUCGGCGCCUUGUACAGGUACAGUUAAGAUCAACUCUGAUGCUUCCUUCCUGCUGGACACUGAACAAAGCUGGGCCACACGGCCGGUGCUGUGGUUUAGUAUCAUAUAGAAGUUUGGUAUUUUUCUCGGUGUGUUGGCAGAUUUAACAAUGCAGUAGUGUGGAAGAGGCGGAAGGACAGGCUGCUUUGAUUUGGUUGUGUUCGCUCUGGACUGUAUACAUGGGGAUCGUUAAUGAGCUGAUACCCGAGGCGUUGAAUUGGUCUCCUUGCUACUCCCUGUAGCCUUUCCCUCCUAAAAAUAAGUUUCAAUUUUUUCUGAAAAGUUUUGCUAUAUUUUCAUGCGGGGUGCAGUGGGGGUGCACGGGCUCAGCCACUACUUUCCAUUAUUUGCAAAGUUGUAAUAAACUACGACAACUAUAAGGUGUUCCUUUUUAGAGCUCAUAUGUGUGCUUCGUUGCAUGUGCACAAGUAGUCCUGGUUCUGAAAACCUAUUUUCAAGCUUUUAUCUCUGCCAUACGAGCAUACUGCCUUUGUUUAGGGUGCUAAUUUAUGACUGCAACAUAGAGUUACUUUUAGGUGGACAUGAGGAUUCUAAGUCGAUCACUCACAUCAAGUCUGCUCAUAAAAUAGCUAGGACUGUAGCACGUUCACACCUUUUUUAGGAAUAGAAUAAUUGAUUACCCAACAGCCACAACACAUUCUAUUUGCAUCAAUGGUCGCAACUUCAACAUGAUGUCGUCUAUUGCAUCGAGGUCACCUUGGGUUCUAGCUAUGGUAGUGACCUCAUGGGGGAGAGUGUUGCAGCUCAUGCCAAUCACACGGAUUUUUUAGGAGGGAAUGUAGCGGCUGAGCCCCACCUCGGUGCAUCCCCGUUGCGCCCCACAUAAAAACAUAGGAAAACUUUCAAAAAAAAUUGAAACUUCCUAGGAAUGAUUAUGAACAAAUGUUAUAGAUGCUUACAAAAUUUUGUGGUCAAAUGAUAUCCAAGGAGCUCUGUACAAAAAAAGAUACAAAUUCUUCUCAAACAGUGCACAUACAUUUUUUUUUGUACUGAGUUCCUCAACGUCAUUUGACCACCAAACUUUGCAAGCACAUAUAAUAUUUGUUCAUAAUCAUUUCCACAAAAUUUCGAAAAGUUUGGCUAUGUUUUCCUUUGGGGCUGUAGCGGGGUGCACCAAGUUGGGGUGUAGAAAAACCACUCUCUUGCAAAUAAUCAAUAAUUUCGAUUUACAUGUACAGGUACCUCGGUAGGACUUGAGGUUGCUCUUGAACUUAGUCUCAUCAAGGUGUCAGUAGGGGAGGGAGGGAGAGAGAGAGAGAGAGAGAGAGAGAGAGAGAGAGAGAGAGAGAGAGAGAGAGAGAGAGAGAGAGAGAGAGGGAGGGAGAGAACAUAAAAAGCAAUUUGAUUGAGACACUGCAGCGGGAGAGGGGGAGAAAAGGGGUCGCAGUUUGAUCGUGGCAUCAUAACAGGAGAGGGAGAGAACAUAGAAUGCAAUUUGAUUGUGAUAUUGCAACGGGAAGGAGAGGGGGAGAGACCACUGUUUGAUCGUGACAGCAGGAAACAAAGGGAUGAGGCAUGUGGGGAAGGAGAAGUUUAAUGUGACGUAUCCGAAAAUUAUAGGUACACCUUAAUAAGACCAAUAUGAAGUGAAAUAUAACACAACUAAAUGUAUAAUUACAAAAAAACACAACUAAAUGUAUGAGUUAAUAAUAUUCAAAGUAUAUGUUGGUCGGGUGGGGGUGGUGAGCCAGAUGCAUCACUCAUAGGGUGGCGAGCUUGGAUUGGGAAGCUUGCUUUAACGGUAAAAGAGCAUACAAUACAAGAUGUGCAUGUUGAUUCUGAAGGUAUAUGUUAGACAUGAUUAAUACUGAACCAUCAAAAUAUCAUAAUAAAUAUAUUCCGUUGCAACGCACGGACAAUUAACUAAGAUGAGGGAGAGAGACUUACUAAGAUGCGAACAAUAUGAAUUAUAAAAAACUGUACGGUGGGGUUGAAAGGGGGAUUGCGAGCUGGCUACACCAUUGACAAAGGUUGUACGCUUAGAUUUGUAUGCCAGAGAUAGUGGGUCAAGGAGGUAGAAGAAGGAGGAGAAAGAAGAAAACUGAUUUUAGCAAUAGAAAGGCCGACAAUAUCAUCUAAUGCUAGCGGUAAAAAAUACAAUAGUGUCAUCUGAUGUGCAUGAGGAUCCUACAUGUAUAUGUUAGCCAUAAUCAGUGUUGAGCCAACAGAAUAUGUAUGUCCCUGUGCAACGCACGGGCACUUACCUAGUUCUCUUUAAUAAUUAAUAAAUAGGCGAUGAUACGGGUCGGCGGACUGGCCCAAAUUUCGGCCGGUCGGCGCGCGCACGUUGGAUCAAGCCGUCCUGCAUCGUUAGAUUUCCUUGUCUCCCCAUCCUGAACCUCUGAUCUGAACACACGCAAAAAAAAAAAACAAAAACAAACCCGCACAGCUCGCCGGUCCAACGCGCCGCCCGCUCUUGCCGUCCACCGCGCCCGCCGGCGCUUGUCCUCGACUAGCCGCGCCGCCCGCACUCGCCAGACACCAUGCUCCAUGUUGGAUUUAGAACGUAGAUCAAAUCGCCGGAGUGUAGGUCCUACGUGCAAAGCUAACUUGCAAACAAGCAGGCAAGCAGCUUAAUUGAUCUACAGUACCACAUGCACGAUGAGCUAGCUUCAACUGGAUUCGAGUCGAUCGUUGGAAACUCUAGGCGGAAGCUCUCGUAAACAGAUCAGGGCGAUAAAAUCACUCGACGGUUGCAGCUUUUUUGCACGCCGGUCGUAGCUUUUGGGCUCGUCGGUGGUAGCUUUUUUGUCGCCGGUUGCAGCUUCUGUGCUCGACAGUUGUAGCUUUUUUCGUCACCGGUCGCAGCUUCCGUGCUCGCUGGUCACAAUUUUUUUCAUGCCGGGUUGUAGCUAUGAAUUGCAUGGUUGCAGCUUCGCCAUCGCCGGCCGAAGCAUCAUUAUAGCAUUGGUCUUUGCCGGUUCCAGCACCCGCCAAUGCCGGUUGCAAGCUUCCGUGGAAACGCGAGCCUCUAUGAAGCUUUUUUUUCCAUUGCCGGUCAUCGGCUGAAGCUUUAUUAUCUACGGUUGAAGCUUUUACUAUCAAUGGUUGUAACUUUUCUGUUGCACAUUGUCUCAUUGAAGCUUUUUUCAUCUAGGGUUGAAGCUUUUCUGUCAAUGGUUGCAACUUUUUUCCGUUGCAUAGUGCCUGAUUGAAGUUUUUUCAUAUACGGUUGAACCUUUUUCUGUCAACGGUUGCAGCACUGGCCGCCCCCCAGCUUCCGCCACAUCUGGUUGAAGCUUUUUGUAGACGGUUUUAGCUUUCUCAGGUGCCGGUUGCAGCUUUGCGGUUGCACAGAGCUGGUUGUAGCACACAGCAGCAAAAAAAAAAGCAACACUAAUUCCAACAAAAAAUUGUCACCGGUUCUAGGAAAAAAUCUCUCCGGUUGUAGCAUCGGCGGGGGAGUAUGAGGUGCUUGGGGAAGGAGAUGCUUGCAGCGUUGGGGGAGGGGGUGCUCACAGAAGUAGCAGGAAGUUGUGCCGUCGGCACUGACGAGCUUACUGUGUGUAACAAGAGAGGAGAGAAGCAAGAGGAAGAAGAAAGCAGAGAAAAAAAAUUACGCGAAAGACAUAAGAAAAGAGACAUCUCGCUUGAAUUGAAGGCUCAUCAAACUCGUGUGGCCCAGUCCGCUUCCGCGUACACAAGCGAGCGAGCGAGGGGCGACCGGCCGAGCGCUCGGCCGGUCGUCCGUCUGGAAACGUCUCCCUUAAUAAAUGAGGCAAAACUUAUGCCUUUUGUUGAAACAAAAGAAGUGUUCCCGGCAUUUGGAGAAUGAUAGAUUUAGGAAAUUCCCCCUUCACUCACAAAUAUAAGAUGUUCUAACUUUUUUUCUAAAUUAGAUAUACACAGACACGUUUUAGUGUAUUAUGUCCGUAUAUAGCCCAUAUUAAAAUCAUGCAAAGCAUCUUAUAGGGAGAAGCUCACUUUCAUCAAGAAAACAGUCCGGGUUCAGCACUUCUCGGACUUUCUACCAGAUCUGGUGGCCAGCGAUAAUGCUGUGCACCAUAUACGCGAAAGCGGUUCAUCGUUCAUGCAGUCAUGCUUCACAAGUUCAGUCUAACAGCAAAGAGCUUCGGUCAGAGCAACAGCAUACGCCACAUGCAGUGAAACCGUAAUCGAAGAUCAAAGAGCUUCUGUCAGAGCACAAGGAAAACCACCGGCACAUGUCGCCGGUGCGAUCUUCUUGGCCAGACGAUUCUGUUCGAGCAGUUCCUGAACAUUACUCUGUUCCCAGCUGAAGUUCACAGAUCUACGGCUUGCUGUGGAUUCAGAGCCAAUUCUUGGGGAGGAGUGGCCUCGUACGAUAUACCGGAGCCUACAGCCGCGGCCGCGCCGCCGCGGGGUGGUCCUUGACCUUGCCCCACACGGCGGGCCACAUCGCCUUCCUGAUCUCGGCCACGACCUCCCCGUCCCACCCCCUCGCCGCGAGCCCCUCGGCCGCCGCGACGGCCGCGGCCACCACGUCUUCGACGCCGCCGUCCGCGGCCGCGUCCACGAUGCCCAGCCGCACCGCCUCCGCCGCCGUCAUCUUGUUCCCCCCGAGGACCAUGUCCCUCCUGGCCGCUGCGUCGGGGACCUUCUGCCGGAGCAGCUCCCCGAAGUAGUCGGCGAACUUGAGGCCGACGUCGACCUCGCUCAUGUACAGGAACCCGCGGGAGGCGCGCAUGACGACGGAGUCGUGCGCGAGGGCCAGCGCGCACCCGGCGGCGGCGGCGUGGCCCGUGACGGCGGCCACGCUGGGCAUGGGCAGCGCGAGGAGGUCGGCCACGAGGGCGCGGAAGGCUCCUCUCAUGGAGUCGUGGAGGUGGGGCGGGACCGUGCGCGCCCAGGCCUGGUCGAAGCCGUUGGAGAAGUACUUGCCCUCCGCGGCCAGCACGAGGGCACCGGCACUGGGUGAGGCGCGGACGGUGGCCAAGGCGGAGCGGAGGGCCGAGAUGAGGGAUGGGCUGAGUCGGUGCUCGCCGGCGCCGGUGAGGGUGAUGAGGUGGACGCGGCCGCGCUUCUCCACUGUGCACAUGGUUCGCUUGUCCAUUCGGGGAUUUGGGGAUCGCGAGGUGAUCGAGUUUCUAUUAAGACACCCAUAUCCGGCCAUCAUCCGGUGUAUACACAGUACUCCCUCCGUCUCAUAGGGCGUGUUUGGUUGCCGUGCGCUACAGCCUACAGUACCCGCAUUGCAUACAUUUCUCCAUCCAACCUGGCUAAGCAAAUGCAGCCUCAAAUGCAUCAUCUGUAUGUUGUUUGGUUGCCUGCAUGCCCUCUUGCCUGCAUGGGCAGAACCACACUGCCUGGUGUUUGGUUGCCUGCAUGUUAGUGGACAAACCCAAGGCAUGGUGUUUGGUUGUAUGCAACGCCUGGUGUGUGGUAACCUCUUUGACUAGUUGGUGAGGUUACCAGCACACUUCGGCACAACCAGUAGCACACAUCAUAAACAGAGCAGAGUAUAAACAGAGGAUCAACUACUUAAGAGCAUAUUUCAGAUAAGCAGUACAACACUUCAUAACAGUUCUACGCAUAAACCAUAAACAUAAACAGUUGAAAGCAGACUCGAUAGUACUUAGGGAGGCCCCGACCCUACUCCUUGGCGGCGAAGGCUUCGUCGUGCUUCCCGCACUUGUUGACGACCUCAAUGCCAUCGUCGUCGAAGAUGAUGACCUUGAGGGUGUCGGGAGUGAGGAGCUUGAACGUCACCAUGUAGCCGAUCUUGAUCUGAUGAACGGCUGCGUAGGUGGCCCAACCCUGAUCCAGGGUCACUCUGCCGUUCAUCAGCUUCACUGUCACCUUCCAGGAGCAGCCGGUGUUGUUCCUGAGCUUGAACUCCGUCGGCACCGCGACGAAGUGCUUGGUGAAGUCCACGGGCAUGGGGAUGCACUCAAGCUUCGGUGCAAGGAUGACCUUGCAGAAGUGAGUUGGCCAUCCUCCUGAUGGUAGUGGUCGUAGUUGCGACGCUUGUUGCUGGGGGGCUCCUCCAUGCCCUCGUCGUCACCACCCUAAGGCGUCUUCGGAUCUUCCUCGGCGGUGGGCGGCAGCACAACCUCGUCGGGCAUUGGGUGAAGGGGCUGCUUGCCCUUGUUGUCAACGGCCGGGAGCACCUCCAUGCCCAUCUCAUUGCUCUCCUCGAUCUGCACACAAUUCAUGGAGUCAAGCACAGCACAGAGUUCAUGGCUAAUUGAAGAGCAUGUAGUUAAAAUGACAUGACUGUCACUCUUCUCCUCUCCACCCCCUAUAUUUACUCACCCUGCCCACCACCACUUACCCACCCCCUCUCUUCUCUCACUGUCAACCUUCCUCCUCCUCAUCACCAUGAGCUCUAGCUCCAGCUCCAACGCCAACCCCUUCCCUUGGGGUAUUGGCUGGAGGGCCUUCUUCCUCGGGUGGACGGCUGGUGACCGGACCAAGUUCGAGAACACCAUGGAGGUGUGCUCGAACUUCGGCUCCAUGCCUGAGAUGCAGAAGGAAUCUAAUGCAGUGCUCAUGAAGGCCACUGCAGAAGAGCUGAAGAUGCUGAUUCCUGACCCAGCGAAGGGCGCGAUGGCAGUUGACAUCAUUCGCUGGGCCAUGAAUCAGGCCGUCUCCGACGACGCUAAACAGAGGAAGAAGUGGUGCAAGUACAAGACCUACCGGGCUCCUAAUGACCGCUGUGCCGCAGUGUACUGGGAGACGGCUAUCGCGCCGCCGGCGGUCAUCGGUGGGGAGCCUAAGGAGGAGGAAGAAGAAGCGGUGCAGAUGCCAGCGAGGGCGCCGGAGCCAGGCCGUCGUACCUGGCAGAUCGACCUCGACUCCGCCGAGGACAACGACGACCCGCCGGCCCGCACGGCGAUGAAGAAGAAGAAGAAGGCCCGCUCCGCACGCCGGUGACGGCCGCCGCGGUCAGCCGGUGUCCGUUGUGUACCCCUAUCCCCCAAUCCCCCUUCUGCAUUCCGAUCUUGCAUCUAUGAACUCGUAUGAACUGCUAUGAACUAGUAUGAACUACCCCUAUGCUUAUCUACCUCUAUUCCCCAUUCCCCUCCGCCGUGGAUCGAAUCUAUCGCCGGAUCGAACAGGAUAAAGUUUUGCAUGUCGAAGAGAGAGAAGUGCUUACCGCCAGUGCCGCGGGCCAGCUGCUGAUCCGCUCGCCGGUGAUGGAGUCCGGUGGUCUUCUUCCUCUGCUCCGAUUCGCCGCCGGUGAGAGUUGGGAGAGUGGGGAAGAGUGGGGAGAGGGAGCGGUGAGGGGCGGUGAGGCUAAUAACUGCCGGGGCUUCGGGAAGCAACACGGCUUCUCGAGCGUGGCCGCGCGCAUGCAGCCGCCACCGCCCACGUGCACCGCUCGGGAUCUGGCCGUGGAGGAACUGCUGAUUCGUGCGUUCCCAGUGAGCCAGGCCCAGAGGUGCUUUAAGUUUCAUGCUGUGCAGACCCAAUAGUAAAACCAGGCGUCCAAACAGCCCGUUCCCUUCCCGCGCGGGCCUGGUUGGGCCUUAUGCAGGCAACCAAACACGCCCAUAAUAUUUAGUUAUGGGAAAGAGCGAGUAGUAUUUAAACCAAUAAGGAGGCUGGGCAACUCGCCUCUCUGGUUUCCCUCGAUUGGGCUUUCGUUGACCGUUGGAUCUGGUCAUCUAGAGUGUUUGAGCUGUGGGAUUUUUACCUGGUGUCAAACCCGAUUUCACCUCGUGGUCGUUUUCGCUGUCCAAUGACUGGUGGGCUCGCACCGCGUGUUUAUUGGCUGGAUUGAUCGAUCUCGGGUGGAAAAUGCUUUCACCCAAUCCCCGCACGCGCUCCGCUCCCAAUCCUGGUCGCGGGCUUGCUGCGUCAGAGCCCACACUCGCACCAACCCUAGCCGCCACACCUCUCCUUCCUCCCUCGCUCGACAGCGUCGCACCCCUCCCUCCUUCCUGCUCGUCCGGAUAGCCGCCGACCGCCGCAUCCCUUCUCCCCUUUCCUCCUCCAUCCUCCUUCCCGCUGGCGCCCCUCGCGCUUGUCCUCGGAAGGGGGGCCUCCCGCAUGGAUGAUCGGGUCUUCAAACUGGGGUUAGAGGAGCAGGGGAGGGCCAAGAAGCCAGCGGUGGGGGUAGAGGAGUAGGGGAGGGCCAAGAAAGCUGACCGGGAGCACACCACCAUAGGCGUCAAGGGAGCCGUGGACAAGCCGCCAGGAGGAGAAAGCUCCCAGUUUGAGGAGGAGACUACAUCACAGGUGUGUUUCUUCCCCCCUUUCCUCAUCUUUCCAUGACGACCUACAAAAAUUUCCAGGUGGUGUUUUGGAACCUGGAUUGAUUUCGUACUGUACGUGGUGUGGUGUGCCCUUGCUAGGAAUAUCUGAUGUGUGUCAUGACACAAUCAAUUAUAGAGAUAAAUAUUACUCUCUCUGGUUCAAAGAGCAUUUAGAUUUCAUAAAUUGAUUGCUUAUAUCAUUGUCAGAAGCUGGGAAGCAUGAUGCUCGAUUAGUGGGCCGCCGCUUGAGAAGAAGCUUGUCAUAUGUCUCUUCAAGCCGCGGCGACUAGGGGCCUUCGAAGAACACGGGGUUUGACAUAGCCAUCGAGGAAGUGCAGGGUAAUACUCUUAUAUGCAGUAUGGUAAUUCUACGUGUGAUGAUGUUGCUCUAUGUUUUCAUAUGAUAAAUCUUCAAAAAAAAUAUUGAAACAUGCAACUACAGCCUGUGGAUAAUCUAUAAGCCAACCAAGGUGGCACUGCUUCAAUGGAUGUGACGAUGAAUCAAUUUUAAGUACAGCUCACUAGAAAGUGAUUGAUCUUACAUGUAUUUUUCUCUUUUACUGGACGCAAGAAGCAACAAUGUUAGUAGAUAAGAAGUGGUGUUAGUCAGGUUAUUUUUGAGCUAUGAGAAGCCUCUCUUAUACUACUGAGCUUUUUAACUCCACCCAACCAAAUGUUCAAACGACGUUUCAUUUUAAUUUGUAAACUGCUUAUGGGAUUGGGACCUGGGAGAUGAUCAUGUUGUAGAUCAUCUUAAUUCUUGAUAGUUAGAAAUCAAUAUUUAAGACCAUGCAUGCAAUAUUUUUUCAAACCAUUCUAUUGUAAAUCUUCACCAAGUUGCCAUCUUUUUGCAGAUACAAACCAUAUGUAAUCAAAGAGGAUAUGGAUUCGGUACGACCAUGAGUGAAGGAAUGUUGUUCCAAUUUGGUACUUCAGUUUAUUAUUUCUUUUAGUCUAUAUUAGCUUAAGAAACAACAUUUGUGGGACAACUAAUGUUUGAACAUGGAAUUUUUUUAGGAGCUUGGAGAAUGUUUUCUCACUAUGGUUCAGGUUAAACUGUUGUUCUACUAUUCCUGCUCAUCCUCCUAAUGUUCUAUUUCUUCGAUGCACCUUCUUCCAGCUUCUCUACUGGUUUUCUCUUCACACUGAUGUAAGUACAUGUUCCUCCCUUCGUCCAAAUCUUCUCCGACCAUGGUCGUUUGCAUGUUUCACCCCUGUUGGUGGUUCACGCGUCGGCCUCGGUGCUCUGAGCAGACCAACAUUUCUCAUCUUGGUGAUUGUAUUAUUGGGGCUUUGCUACAUGUGUAGGUUUGAAUCGAUGGCUAGAAAUACAUAGUGCCAUUUUGUCUUAUGGAGUGAUAAUUAAGCAGACACACAUAGCCGCAAAAGGGAUUGCUCAAAUGAAAUAAGUUGCUAAUUUUGUAUCUUUGACACUCAUGGAAAAGGUGCAUGCCAAUCCUAAUUAUAACCGUAUCACAUAUAUGGAACUGCAUUAGACGAAUGGUGUUAUCAGGAUGACAAAUUUCAGUCACAGAACUGAACGUUCCUUUUCUUGGUGUAUAUUUGUCAUAUACAGAAUUCAGAAAAAUUGUUGGAUAUUACAAUUCAUAUAUUCACUAUUUAGAAUCGAGAUAUCCAAUCAUGUUAGGAUAUGAUAUGGUCUUUAUCCAGGGGUUCUAAGUAUUAUGAAUGUGCAUGUCCUGAUACAUGUAAUUAUAAGGUAGUUACAAGCUAGCUGGACAUGUGUGUCAAAGUGCUUGCAUUUCAGUUUAUGUAGGAAGAGGAGCAUCAAUACCUAGUUCUCCCGCCUUGUAUAUGUAACGUCUUCCUUCCAAGCAAUUAGUAUAUGGAAUUAGAGAUUCUUAUAUCCAUAUUUUUUGGAACUUCGUGGAUUCCUACCAUCUCUAUAUAAUUACAACAAAACCAAUAGGUUAGAGUGGCGUGUCCCUUAGUGCGACCGAUUGGGUACAGAUGAAGCCUCUCAUCCCACAUGCUCAUUGUUUCUACCUCAAACCAAUCCCGUGGCCUCCUUUUAAAUUAUUGAUACAUGUGUUGCUUCAUUUAUUUAUUUUGAGAUCACAUAUUAUCCAAUUCCUUAUUAUUAUUGUUAAAGAAAUAGCCUAACAUUAUACAUGGAUUGACACUGAAUAUGUAAAUCAGGUAGCAUACUUACAUUAAUGCGUUCAAACAAUUUUAUUCAUCACCUGAUAGAAGGAAUAAUGGUGACAUUUCAAUACAUUUUUUCAGUCAUGUAUGCAGUGUUGGCAAAGAGCCUGCUGAUACGUCCAUUUUGCAUCAUGUUUUCCUACUAUUAUUUAUAAUGGUUUUAUGCAUAAUAAUGCUUUAUGAAGUAAUUCUAAUGCCCUUUCUCUCAUAAUAUGCAAGGUUUACACAAAGAGGGAGAAUGCCGGCAGUUGGAAUUCUGGACCUGAAAAAGCUACGUCGGAGCUACCUAUUCUGCACAAAUCCAAAUGAGCUGAAAAUUUAUGGAGAAUUAUUUUGCAAUAUAUGAAAAAUACUGGAGCAAAUAACUACCGGAGGGGGGCCACCUGGUGACCACAAGACACCAGGGCGCGCCAGCCCCCUAGGCGCGCCCUGGUGGGUUGCCUCCGGUGCCCAUCUUCUGGUAUAAGUCAUUUUGACCUAGAAAAAAUAAGUGGAGGACUUUUGGGACAGAGCACCGCCGUCUCGAGGCGGAACUUGGGCAGGAGCACUUUUGCCCUCCGACGGAGCAAUUUCGCCGGGGAAACUUCCCUCCCGGAGGGGGAAAUCGAAGCCAUCGUCAUCACCAACAACCCUCUCAUCUUUGGGAGGCCAAUCUCCAUCAACAUCUUCAACAACACCAUCUUCUCUCCAACCCUAGUUCAUCUCUUGUGUUCAAUCUUUGUACCGGAACCUCAGAUUGGUACGUGUGGGUGACUAGUAGUGUUGAUUACAUCUUGUAGUUGAUUUCUAUAUGGUUUAUUUGGUGGAAGAUUAUAUGUUCCGAUCCAUUAUGCUAUUUAAUACCCCUCUGAUCCUGAGCAUGAAUAUUAUUUGUGAGUAGUUACUUUCGUUCUUGAGGUCACCGGAGUAGUCAUGUUGCAAGUAAUCAUGUGAACUUGAUAUGUGUUCGAUAUUUUGAUGAUAUGUAUGUUGUGAUUCCCUUAGUGGUGUCAUGUGAACGUCGACUACAUGGAACUUCACCAUCUUUGGGCCUAAGGGAAUGCAUUGUAGAGUAGUUAUUAGAUGAUGGGUUGCUAGAGUCACAGAAGCUUAAACCCUAGUUUAUGCGCUACUUCGUAAGGGACCGAUUUGGAUCCAAAUGUUUAAUGCUAUGGUUAGAUUUUAUCUUAAUACUUUUCUCGUAGUUACGGAUGCUUGCGAGGGGGUUAAUCAUAAGUGGGAGGCUUGUUCAAGUAACAAUAGCACCCAAGCACCGGUCCACCCACAUAUCAAAUUAUGAAAGUAGCGAACGCGAAUCAAACCAACAAGAUGAAAGUGACUAGAUGAAAUUCCCGUCUGCCCUCAAGAAAAUUUUGCUUAUUAUCUGAGACCGUUUUGGCCCGUCCUUUGCCACAAAAGGAUUGGGAUACCUUGGUGCACUUUAUUGAGCAUUACCUUUACUUGUCCGUUAUAAUUAUCUUGCUUUCAAACUACCUGUUACCGACUAUUUCAGUGCUUGCAGAAAAUACCUUGCUGAAAACCACUUGUCAUUUCCUUCUGCUCCUCGUUGGGUUCGACACUCUUACUUAUCGAAAGGACUAUGAUUGAUCCCCUAUACUUGUGGGUCAUCACUUGCAGAACCUAAGUUGGUUGAAUGGACCAAAAGAGACAACAAGUUUGACCGCUGCAGAUGGAAGCCUUCCAGGGAGGUGGCUCAGCAGGUGGGCGAUGGCGGAUGCCGGUCUCACGCGGCUCCUACGCCCAGCCACCAUAUCCUCCCUAGCUAAGAAAGAGGUUCGAUUGACACCGCUACCUCUUCCUUGCCGCCCAGCAGGAGGGGCACUAGGUGAGUAGCCGUAGGACGCACCACUGCUAGAAGCGUGUUGUCCUCUUUCGCUCCAUCAUAUUGUGUGCUUUUAGAUUUAAUUCAUGUUUAGUUAAUGCCCACUGAUUGUGAUGUUCAUUCUAUGGGGAGUUUUAUCUACUUUUCAUAUUUUGUGCAUUUUCUAUUUCAUGUAUUGGCCAGUGGUCCUAAAUUCCCAGUGGUUUCUUUAUUCUUCAGGCAAAUGACAUAUCAGGAGAGGAUUUAUUAGAGGAUCUUCUAGAAAGCUUUUUUAUAUUUGGUUCCUGGAAGACUGGUACGCAACUGUGUUUUUUGUAAAAUAUGUUCUUGCUUGAGGGUGAAUAUGUUCAUUCAUAAUCAUUGUAUCAUUCAUAACAAACAAUUCUUAGCAUCAACGCUGAUGCCUAUAUUACAUGCUAUAUACCUUUCUAAUGUAAUCUUGUGCAUGUCAAUGGCACCGACAGUGGUUUAAAACAUAAGCUGGUGCAUCUGUGCUUGCUUGUUGCUUUUUUUCUACUAGGCAAGGUCUAUAAUAGAAUAGAUAUCCAUUAAAACUUGUAUAUGUGGUUGCUACUUCUUGAGCUUGCGUUGGUUUUUCCCUUGAAGAGGAAAGGGUGAUGCAGCAAAGUAGAGAUAAGUAUUUCCCUCAGUUUGAGAACCAAGGUAUCAAUCCAGUAGGAGGUACAAGCAAGUCUCCAAUCUAUGCACCUGCACAAACAAUCAAACACUAGCACCAAACACGAUAAAGGGCCGGGUUGUCAAUCCCUUCACGGUCACUUGCAAGGAUGAGAUCUGAUAGAGAUGGAUAUAAAAGAUUACUAAAAUGUAAAACAAAGUAAAAAGAAAUAAAUUGCAGCAAGGUAUUUUUGGAUUUUUGGUUUUAUAGAUCUGAAAAUAUAUGAUGGAAAAUAGACCCGGGGACCAUAGGUUUCACUAGAGGCUUCUCUCUUGAAGAAAGCAUACGGUGGGUGAACAAAUUACUGUUGAGCAAUUGAUAGAAAAGCGAAUAAUCAUGAUGAUUGAUAACCCACAAGUAUAGGGGAUCACAACAGUUUUCGAGGGUAGAGUAUUCAACCCAAAUUUAUGAUUCGACACAAGGGGAGCCAAAGAAUAUUUGAAGGUAUUAGCAGCUGAGUUGUCAAUUCAACCACACCUGGAGAUUAAUUAUCCGCAGCAAGUAAUCAGUAGCAAAGUAGUUUGAUAGUUUUGAUAGUAGUGACAACAGUAACGGUAACGGUAACAGUGAUAGCAAUAUUUUUGAAGCAAGUGUAACAGUGAAGAAAGCAGUAGUAACUUAGCAAGAUCAAUAUAGGAUAAAUUCGUAGGCAUUGGAUCGAUGACUUGUUGGAUGAUAUUCACCAUGAGACAGUUAUAACGUAGGGCGAUACGGCACUAGCUCCAGUUCAUCGAUAUAAUGUAGGCAUGUAUUCCGUAAAUAGUCAUACAUGCUUUAUUAAAAGAACUUGCAUGACAUCUUUUGUCCUACCCUCCCGUGGCAGCGGGGUCCAUAUUGGAAACUAAGGGAUAUUAAGGCCUCCUUUUAAUAGAGAACCGGAACAAAGCAUUAACACAUAGUGAAUACAUGAACUCCUCAAACUACGGUCAUCACCGGGAGUGGGCCCGGUUGUUGUCACUCCGGGGUUGCCGGAUCAUAACACGUAGUAGGUGACUAUAACUUGCAAGAGCGGAUCUAAAACAUGGAUAUAAUGAUGAUAACAUAAACAGUUCAGAUCUGAGUUCAUGGCACUCGGGCCCAAAGUGACAAGCAUGAAGCAUGGCAAAGUUAUAGCAACAUCAAUCUAAGAACAUAGUGGAUACUAGGGAUUAAGCCCUAACAAAACUAACUCAAUUACAUGAUGAAUCUCAUCCAACUCCUCACCGACUAGCGAGCCUACGAAGGAAUUACUCACUCCCUGUGGGGAGCAACAUGGAAUUGGCAAUGGAGAACACGUACUCCCCCAAGCUUAGGCUUUUGGCCUAACUUGGUAGUCGGUCAGUAGCCUGGAGGGUAGUAGUCGGAGUGGUAGCUCACGGAGGCUCUCGGUGUUGACGCCUCGGCCUGCCGUGUUGCCAACGCUGCUGCGUUGUGAGCUUGGGCCUCGCUCUCAAGAACAAAAUAUCUCCCCUUGCUGUGAUAGUCAAAAAGAGCAGGCGCAGGCAAAUAUGUGUGCACAACAGAUGUUUGGUUAAACAACAAAUUGUACGUGAAGUCAUGAAUCUUUCCUUUUAGGAUUUAUGCUCUUUCAAGGUGUUAAAAUCUAAAUACUGCUUGGGUAGGAUAGGAUCAAAGGGCAAAGGUGAAACACCAAGCCCCCGUGCUAAGCGCGUGGCAUAAAUUCCACCAUAGAAGUAGCCACUGUUAGCGUUAUGAUGAAGUCUACGUGCAACAAUAGCUCCAAGGUUAUAGUUCCUUUCACCAGUGAGAGCGGUGCAUAUGAGGCUUGUGACGCCCGGAUAAUCAAGCUACAGUAACCUCUGCUAAUGAUGCCACGUCACGUCGAUUACUGUUGCUAAUUUCGCGUUAGUUCAAAACCGAUUCAAAAUUCAAAAUUCAAAAACACGUCAAACAAUUAAAGUUUUCAAAGGUCAAAACUAAAAUAUUCCAGGUGUGACAAAUAAUACCUAGAUAAUAAUGGUGGAGAAACCAACAUCCUUAAAAAUGUUUGAAUGUCCUAACAUAAAUAAAACAGUGGCAAAACAAUUAAUUAAAUGCCUUUUAUCAUUUAUAAAAUAUCAAACUAUUUUAGUUAGGAGUGAGACUUUUUGUGGCAGUGGGUUAAACCAUAACACUAAUUUAGAAACUAUUUUCCUAAUUUAUAAAACUAAGAUAAAUAGAAAACAAAAUAGAAAACUACUAAAAAGAAAAGAAAAUGCAACACAGAAAACAAAACAAAGCUAAAAAAAGAGAGAGAGCGAACCCCCCCACUGGGCUCCGGCCCAGCAGGCCACAGCCCCACUGGGCCAAACCACCAGGCCCAGCCGGCCACUCCCCCCCACUCCCCUUAUCCACUCACCCGAAACCCUNNNNNNNNNNNNNNNNNNNNNNNNNNNNNNNNNNNNNNNNNNNNNNNNNNNNNNNNNNNNNNNNNNNNNNNNNNNNNNNNNNNNNNNNNNNNNNNNNNNNNNNNNNNNNNNNNNNNNNNNNNNNNNNNNNNNNNNNNNNNNNNNNNNNNNNNNNNNNNNNNNNNNNNNNNNNNNNNNNNNNNNNNNNNNNNNNNNNNNNNNNNNNNNNNNNNNNNNNNNNNNNNNNNNNNNNNNNNNNNNNNNNNNNNNNNNNNNNNNNNNNNNNNNNNNNNNNNNNNNNNNNNNNNNNNNNNNNNNNNNNNNNNNNNNNNNNNNNNNNNNNNNNNNNNNNNNNNNNNNNNNNNNNNNNNNNNNNNNNNNNNNNNNNNNNNNNNNNNNNNNNNNNNNNNNNNNNNNNNNNNNNNNNNNNNNNNNNNNNNNNNNNNNNNNNNNNNNNNNNNNNNNNNNNNNNNNNNNNNNNNNNNNNNNNNNNNNNNNNNNNNNNNNNNNNNNNNNNNNNNNNNNNNNNNNNNNNNNNNNNNNNNNNNNNNNNNNNNNNNNNNNNNNNNNNNNNNNNNNNNNNNNNNNNNNNNNNNNNNNNNNNNNNNNNNNNNNNNNNNNNNNNNNNNNNNNNNNNNNNNNNNNNNNNNNNNNNNNNNNNNNNNNNNNNNNNNNNNNNNNNNNNNNNNNNNNNNNNNNNNNNNNNNNNNNNNNNNNNNNNNNNNNNNNNNNNNNNNNNNNNNNNNNNNNNNNNNNNNNNNNNNNNNNNNNNNNNNNNNNNNNNNNNNNNAUUAGAUAAUUAAUUUAAUUAAACAGUAAUUAUUUAGCUAAACCCUAAUUAACCUAAACGGAGAAUGACAGGUGGGUCCCACUGGACCCACAUGUUAGUUUGACUUAGUCAACCCCAGUUGACUGCUGAUGUCAACAUGACAUCAUGCUGAUGUCAUAAAUCCAUUUUCGAAUUAAUUUAAAUAAUUAAUUAAAUUCCAGAAAUUAAUAAAAUCUUUAGAAAACCAUAUCUUUUAAUCCGUAACUCGGAUUAAAAUAUUUUCAACAUGAAAGUUGCUCAGAACGACAAGACGAAUCCAGAUACGCAGUCCGUUCGUCCACCACACGUCCCUAGCAUAGUGAACCUGCAACAUUUCACCUCCGGUUCAUCUGUCCGAAAACGUGAAACACCGGGGAUAUUUUCCCGGAUGUUUCCCCCCUUCACCGGUAUCGCUUACUACCGCGUUAGGGCAUACCUAGCACCGCGUUUUGCCUCCUUAUGUUUUGUGAUGCUUUGUUUGCUCCGUAUUUACUGUUUCUUCCCCCUCUUCUCUCCGAUAGACUACGAGACCGACACUGGUGCUGCCCAGUUCGACUACGGAGUUGACGACCCCUCCUACUUGCCAGAGCAACCAGGCAAGCCCCCCCCUUGAUCACCAGAUAUCGCCUAUUCUUUCUCUAUACUGCUUGCAUUAGAGUAGUGUAGCAUGUUACUGCUUUCCGUUAAUCCCAUCCUGAUGCAUAGCCUGUCAUUGUUGCUACAGUUGUUACCCUUACCUGCUAUCCUACUGCUUAGUAUAGGAUGCUAGUGUUCCAUCAGUGGCCCUACACUCUUGUCCGUCUGCCAUGCUAUACUACUGGGCCGUGAUCACUUCGGGAGGUGAUCACGGGUAUAUAUUAUAUACUAUAUACAUGACACAUGUGGUGACUAAAGUCGGGUCGGCUCGUUGAGUACCCGCAAGUGAUUCUGAAGAGGGGGCUGAAAGGACAGGUGGCUCCACCCCGGUAGAGGUGGGCCUGGGUUCCUGACGGCCCCCGACUGUUACUUUAUGGCGGAGCGACAGGGCAGGUUGAGACCACCUAGGAGAGAGGUGGGCCUGGCCCUGGUCGGCGUUCGCGGAUACAUAACACGCUUAACGAGUUCUUGGUAUUUGAUCUGAGUCUGGCCAUUUGGUCUAUACGCACUAACCAUCUACGUGGGAGUAGUUAUGGGUAUCCCGACGUCGUGGUAUCAGCUGAAGCCUUCGUGACGUCAGCGACUGAGCGGCGCGCCCCGGAUUGGACUGGAACACCACUAGGCUAGGUCUGCUUCCGGCCGCGUACGCAACAUGCAGGUGUGCAUAGGGCGAUGGGCCCAGACCCCUGCGCGCUUAGGAUUAGACCGGCGUGCUGACCGCUCUGUUGUGCUUAGGUAGGGCUGCGACGCGUUGAUCUUACGAGGCCGGGCAUGACCCAGAAAAGUGUGUCCGGCCAAAUGGGAUCGAGCGUGUUGGGUUAUGUGGUGCACCCCUGCAGGGAAGUUUAUCUAUUCGAAUAGCCGUGUCCCUCGGUAAAAGGACGACCCGGAGUUGUACCUUGACCUUAUGACAACUAGAACCGGAUACUGAAUAAAAUACACCCUUCCAAGUGCCAGAUACAACCCGGUGAUCGCUCUCUAACAGGGCGACGAGGAGGGGAUCGCCGGGUAGGAUUAUGCUAUGCGAUGCUACUUGGAGGACUUCAAUCUACUCUCUUCUACAUGCUGCAAGAUGGAGAUGUCCAGAAGCGUAGUCUUCGACAGGACUAGCUAUCCCCCUUUUGAAAGAUCGUGGAUGUCGCCUAGAGGGGGGGGUGAAUAGGCGCUUUAAAAUAAUUACGGUUUAGGCUUGAACAAAUGCGGAAUAAACGUAGCGGUUAAUUUGACAAGCACAAAACCUACAACAACUAGGCGCACCUAUGUGCACCAACAACUUAUGCUAAGCAAGAUAAACAACUAAGUGAUAGCAAGAUAUAUGACAAGAAACAAUAUGGCUAUCACAAAGUAAAGUGCAUAAGUAAAGGGUUCGGGUAAGAGAUAACCGAGGCACGCGGAGACGACGAUGUAUCCCGAAGUUCACACCCUUGUGGAUGCUAAUCUCCGUUUGGAGCGGUGUGGAGGCACAAUGCUCCCCAAGAAGCCACUAGGGCCACCGUAAUCUCCUCACGCCCUCGCACAAUGCAAGAUGCCGUGAUUCCACUAAGGGACCCUUGAGGGCGGUCACCGAACCCGUACAAAUGGCAACCCUUGGGGGCGGUCACCGAACCCGUACACUUUGGCAACCCUUGGGGGCGGUCACCGGUACCCGUCAAAUUGCUCGGGGCGAUCUCCACAACCUAAUUGGAGACCCCGACGCUUGCCCGGAGGUUUACACCACAAUGAUUGAGCUCCGAACACCACCAACCGUCUAGGGCGCCCAAGCACCCAAGAGGAACAAGCUCAAGGGCACCAAGCACCCAAGAGUAAUAAGCUACUCAACUUGUAACUUCCACGUAUCACCGUGGAGAACUCAAACCGAUGCACCAAAUGCAAUGGCAAGGGCACACGGAGUGCCCAAGUCCUUCUCUCUCAAAUCCCACCGAAGCAACUAAUGCUAGGGAAGAAAAUGAGAGGAAGAACAAGAAGGAGAACACCAAGAACUCCAAGAUCUAGAUCCAAGGGGUUCCCCUCACAAAGAGGAGAAAGUGAUUGGUGGAAAUGUGGAUCUAGAUCUCCUCUCUCUUUUCCCUCAAAAACUAGCAAGAAUCCAUGGAGGGAUUGAGAGUUAGCAAGCUCGAAGAAGGUCAACAAUGGGGGAAGAACACGAGCUCAAAAGAUAAGGUUCAUUGGGGAAGAAGACCCCCUUUUAUAGAAAGGGAAAAAUCCAACCGUUAUGUGCUCAGCCCGCACACGAGCGGUACUACCGCUCCACGAGCGGUACUACCGCUCUGGCGGAAGAAGCAGGGAAAAGGAGCAACCAAACAUGAACCUUGGGGCGGUAGUACCGCUUAUAACCGGUACUACCGCGCACCCCAGCGGUACUACCGCUGGAGGAGCAGAACACGGGACCAAAAAAAAACAGUAGUGGUACUAUCGCCCGACCGGAGCGGUACUACCGCUUAUAGGCGGUACUACCGCCCAUCAGGGCGGUACUACCGCUUAUAGGUGGAACUGCCGUGCCUUACUGCCGUGCAACUACUGCAAAACUCGACACGAAAAAUGCAAUACCCAAAAUCGAGGCGGUACCAGCGCGGAACCGUAGCCGUACUACCGCUUACGGCCAUAGGCGGUACUACCGCUUUGGACAGCGGUACUACCGCUUGGGGUGAUAAGCGGUACUGCCGCUCUGGCCGCGGUACUACCGCUAGGAAACCAAAACUGCCAUAACUUCUGCAUAUGAGCUCCGAAUUGAGCAAACUCAAGCUUGUUGGAUUGAGAAAGACGAGUAGCAUCAAAACAACCAUAUAGUAAGAAGAGGCAGGGGAGGUAUGCCAAAAAAUAGAGGAGUGAAACCUCCAACCGAGAAGAACCGGCAUAACCUCCAACAUCGAAAACAUCAUAGAAGAUGCGAGUGAACUCCGUUUUCGAUGAACUCGAGCUUGUCAUCAAGAUGACCAUAAGCUCCAAAACUCAAAAAGAGAAGAACCAAACAAGAACCAACAAAGAUGAUGCAAGGAUGCAAUGGUUUGAGCUCUCUAUGAACGAUACGAUGAAGCUACUCAUCGAGAGCCCCCCUUGAUAGUACGGCAAUCGAUCCUAUAACCCGGUCUCCCAACUACCAUCAUGAGACCGGUAAAAUAGAAAACCUAUCAAGAGCAAACCUUUGCCUUGCACAUGGUCCACUUGAGCUAGAUGAUGACGAUCUUGACUCCCUCAAGUUGGACCACCUUUCUUGGUUGUGUUGACCCGAUGAACACUAGUUGAUUGCUCCCCCAUACUCCACUAUGGGUGAGCCACUCUUCCGCACAUCUUCACAAGUCCAUUGUCACCACAAUGGACGGCAAGCUUCAAGCAUUUGAUCUCUUCAUGAUGCUUCACUUGAACUUGCACACCGCAACCUAACCCCACAAAGAACUCUCACGAAGAUCAUGGGUUAGUACACAAAGCGUAAUCGACAAUGCUUACCACACCAUGGGAUCGCUUGAUCCCUCUCGGUACAUCUUGUGCGCUUUGUGUGUUGAUCAACUUGAUUCACUCUUGACUUAGUCUUGAUCAACCUUGACUCUUUCCAACUCUCUUCAUUUGGAUGAUGUCUUGAAGGUAAACAUGAAUGAUCACACAAUCUUCUUCUUCAAGACAUGCUUGCAAUAAGUUCUACUCUCACAUGACCAAUCUUUGGAUAAUUCCUUAAUAACACCUUGGUCACCACAUAAACUCAUGACCAAUCUUUGGAUAAUUCCUUAAUAACACCUUGGUCACCACAUAAACUCCUUGAAACCAACACAUGGACUUCAAGAAAAGCCUAUGGACAAAUCCUUCAAAUAUAACUCAAGGCAACCAUUAGUCCAUAGAGAUUGUCAUCAAUUACCCAAACCAAACAUGGGGGCACCGCAUGUUCUUUCACCUUUUAUUCUGGCAUUCUGUAGUUCAGUCCACUGAUAUGGCCCUUUACACAUAUACCCAUGCAUAUGUAGUGUAGCUCCUUGCUUGCGAGUACUUUGGAUGAGUACUCACGGUUGCUUUUCUCCCUCUUUUCCCUUUUUCUAUACCGGAUUGUCGCAACCAGAUGCUGGAGUCCAGGAGCUAGAGAUCCUGAGGAUGAUUCUACAUGGAGUUCGGCUUCGAGGAGUAGUUAGGAGGUCUCAGGCAGGAGGCCUUGCCUUUUCGAUCGUUGCUACUUUUGUGCUAGCCUUCUUAAGGCAAACUUGUUUAACUUAUGUCUGUUCUCAGAUAUUGUUGCUUCCGCUGACUCGUCUGUGAUCGAGCACUUGUAUUCGAGCCCUCGAGGCCCCUGGCUUGUAUUAUGAUGCUUGUAUGACUUAUUUAUGUUGUAGAGUUGUGUUGUGAUAUCUUCCCGUGAGUCCCUGAUCUUGAUCGUACACAUUUGCGUGCAUGAUUAGUGUACGGUCAAAUCGGGGGCGUCACAAGGCUCAAGUCUGGAGCACAAAGCAUACUACAGUCUUUCUUGCCUACUAUACAUUUCCCGUUGAAUAAUGCAAAGUACUGAAUUGCGGGAAAAUGAAUGCUCUUUAUUCUACCUUGUGUCACUCCCCUCCUUUCACCGUAACAAAGACUAGUCAAGAAAGAUUCAAUCUCAGCCUUUGAUGGUUCGUCAAACGGACCCCAAAAUGGUAGUUUGCAAUGGUAAGCAAAAUUCUCCAGUGAGAUAGUAAAUGGAUUAUCAUAAAGCAUAAAAGAAACUCUAGACUCACGAGGGAAGAAUUUAAAUCCUUUGACAAAUGAUUCAGUGAGAAGGUGGCCUUGUUCGCACUUAUCUGAGAUAUAGGGACCGAGUCUGGCAUUGUGAACAUAUUGCUUAAAUUCAUCCUUAAUGCCCACAUGCACCAUAUAAUCAUCGCAAGGCCAUAAGCAUGUUUUGGUGGCGGCAUCUCGUGUGGAACUUUCACUUGGUUCAACAUAAGACCGGCGAGCAGAACUGUCACUAGAAGAUGCCCCCGAGGAUAGUCUCCUCGAAGAACUCCUUCCAAAUAAGUUCAUCAUGUCCGCGUAUAAUUUUCUGAAAAUAGAAAUUUUGGGAUGACAAAAAUUUGUCAACAAAACUUUAUAAAAUUGAUAGCAACUACUCAUAGGGAUACAUAGAGGCCAUAGCAAGCAUUCAAACUACUUAGAACUCUAAGAAUUCAACAUGCAAGCUCAUCUACAACAGCACCAAGAGUAGCUAAUUAUUCAAAAUGUAAACCACUAAAACAAAAACUAAUUGGACAAACGGUCGAGUCACAUACCAAGCAACAAUCCUCCGAAACAGUUUCAGAAAUGGAGCUUCGAGCAAAGAGAUCGAAAUCCGCGGGUUUGAGAGCAAGAACACGGGAGAGAGAGAAAUGGAGAUUUUUUUGGAGGUAAGUGAUGAUGUGAGAUGAAGAGGUAAGUGAGGGGGCUCACGUGGGGACCACAACCCACCAGGGCGCGCUUGGGGGUCCUGGCGCGCCCAGGUGGGUUGUGCCCACCUGGUGCACCUCCCUAUGAUAUUAUUUGCACCAGAAAUUCAGAAAUAUUCAGAAAAAAUCGUAUUAAAUUUUCAGAGCAUUCUGAGAACUUUUGUUUUUGGGUCAUUUUUUUAUUGCACGGGAAAUUCAGAAAACAGACAAAACAUGGCCUUUUAUUUUAUUCAACUGGUAAAAACAGAAAACAAAAAGUAGGGACAGAAGGUAGUGCUUACUAAAUUCAUCAACUUCAUACCGCUCAAAAAUGAUUCAUUAAUAAGGUUGAUCAGGUCUUAUUAACAACCACUUUCGAUUAGCAUGAAACCGAAGAACUUCCAUAAAUCACUAAGUUACCUCAAUGGGGAUAUGAAUGUCCCCAACAAUAAGAAUUUCAUAUUUCUUUUUGACAGUGGGUAGAGGUAUUUGAAAACUUCCAAUAGUGAUUGUCGGAGAUUUUUCAAUAACAUUAAUACCAUUCACUUGGACUUGUUUCUUCGGAAAGUGCACCGUAUGCUCAUUACCAUUGAUAUGAAAAGUGACCUUGCUUUUAUUGCAAUCAAUAACAGCCCCUGCAGUAUUCAAGAAGGGUCUACCAAGGAUAAUUGACAUGUUGUCGUCCUCAGGCAUCUCAAGUAUAACAAAGUCAGUCAAAAUAGUAACAUUAGCAACAACAACGUGCACAUCCUCACAGAUACCGAUAGGUAUGGCAGUUGACUUGUCAGCCAUUUGCAAAGAUAUUUCAGUAGGUGUGAGUUUAUUCAAGUCAAGUCUUUUAUAUAAAGAGAAAGGCAUAACACUAACACCAUCUCCUAAAUCACACAAAGCAGUUUUCACAUAAUUCUUUUUGAUAGAGCAAGGUAUAGUUGGUAUUCCCGGAUCUCCAAGUUUUUUAGCUACUCCAUCUUUAAAAGUAUAAUUAGCAAGCAUAGUGGAGAUUUCAGCUUCCGGUAUUUUUCUCUUAUUUGUGAUGAUGUCUUUCAUAUACUUUGCAUAAGGAGGCAUUUUAAGGAUAUCAGUCAAGCGAGUACGCAAAAAGACUGGCCUCAGCAUUUUAGCAAAGCAUUCAAAUUCUUCAUCAUCUUUAUUUUUAGUUGACUUGGGUGGAAAAGGCAUAGGUUUUUGAACCGACGGUUCUCUUUCUUUACCGUGUUUCCUAGCCAUGAAGUCUCUUUUAUCAUAUCUUUUAUUCUUAGGUUGUGGGUUAUCAAGAUCAACAGGUGGUUCUAUCUCAACAUCAUUAUCUGGUUCUUUAUCAUUAUUUGGUUGAGUGUCUUCAUGAACCUCAUCAUUAUCUUUUUCAUUAUCACUAGUUGAGUGUUCAUUACCAGAUUGAGUUUCAGCAUCAGAGAUAGAAGUUUCAUUAUCAUUAUCAGGAGGUUUCUCUAUUUCAGGUUCAGUAGAAGUAUGCAAAGUCCUAUCAUUUUUCUUUUUCUUUUUCUUUCUAGAAGGACUAGGUGCUCUAGUGUUAUUUCUUUGUGAAUCUUGCUCAAUUCUUUUUGGGUGUCCCUCAGGAUAAAGUGGUUCCCGAGUCAUUUUACCCCCUCUAGUUGCAACUCUAACAGCAAAGUCAUGUAUAUUAUUAUUCAUUUCAUCAAGCAAUUCUCUUUGAGAUUUAGCAACUUGUUCUAACUGGGUUUGAACCAUAGAAGCAUGUUUUCCAACACCUCUAACAUCAUUUGAUAUUGUAAAUAACAAGUCACUCAAGCGAGCAAUCAUAUCAGAAUUAUAUUUCAAUUGUUUCAUAACAUUUGCAUUGAAGUGAUCUUGUUUCCUAAUGUAGUUUUCAAACUCAUAAAGGCAUUGACUAGGAUGCAUAUUGUGAGGAUUAUCAUUAUCAUUGAACUUCGUUAGAGAAUUUACCUCUACCACCUUAGGCACUGGUGGUGUAUUAAGCCCAUGUAUUUCUUCAAGAGGAGGUAAAAUUUUAACAUCCUCAGCUUUAAUACCUUUUUCCUUCAUAGAUUUCUUUGCCUAUUGCAUAUCUUCAGGAUUGAGAUAUAAUAUACCCCUCUUCUUUGGAGUGGGUUUAGCCGGUGGUUCAGGAAGAGUCCAAUCAUCAUAAUUUUUCAAUAUGUUAUUCAAUAAUUCUUUAGCUUGUCCAACAGUUCGUUCCCUGAAAACACAACCAACACAACUAGCUAGGAAGUCCCUAGAAGCAUCGGUUAGUCCAUUAUAUAAGAUAUCAAGUAUUUCAUUUUUCUUAAGAGGAUGAUCAGGCAAAGCAUUGAGUAACUGGCAAAGCCUCCCCCAAGCUUGUGGGAGACUCUCUUCUUUAGUUUGCACAAAGUUAAAUAUUUCCUAUAAGGCAGCUUGUUUCUUAUGAGCAGGAAAAUAUUUUUCAGAGAAGUAAUAAAUCAUAUCCUGGGGACUACGCACACAACCAGGAGCAAGAGUAUUGUACCAAGCUUUAGCAUCACCCUUUAAUGAGAAAGGAAAUAAUUUGAGAAUAAAUUAAUAACGAGUCUUCUCAUCAUGAUUAAAAAGGGUGGCUAUAUCAUUCAACUUAGUAAGAUGUGCCACAACAGUUUCAGUUUCAUAACCAUGGAAAGGAUCAGAUUCAACCAAAGUAAUUAACUCUGGGUCGACAGAGAAUUCAUAAUCCUUAUCAUCAAUAAAGAUAGGUGAGGUAGCAAACUUAGGAUCACAUUUCAUUCUAGCAUUCAGAGAUUUUUCUUUAUACUUGCAUAGUAAUUUCUCUAGAUCAUCUCUAUCCUUACAAGAAAGAAUAUCUCUAGUUGUCUCCUCAUUCAUAACAUAACCUUCCGGUACCUUAGGCAAUUCAUAUCUAGGAAGGCUAGUUCUAGCAGGUGUUUCAGGAGUUUCAGUUUCAAGCUCAUCAUCAGAUUCAACAACAUCAUGUUGUAUUACUCUAGCAAUUUGUGCAUCAAGAAAUUCACCAAGUGGCACAUCAUCAUUAUCAAGCAAAGUACUAGCAUCAUCAUAAGCAUCAUUCAUAGUAGAGGUAGCAUCAUCAAUAACUUGCAACAUAUUAGAAUUGAUAGCAGUGGUGGUGUUGCAAGUUUACUCAUAACAGAAGGUGAAUCUAAAGCAGAACUGGAUGGCAGUUCCUUACCUCCCCUCGUCCUUGAAGGAAAUAUCUUAGUCUUAGGAUCCUUCAGAUUCUUCAUAGUGAUAAAUCGAUAAUAAUCCCAAGUGACUCAACAAAUAUAGCUAUGCUCCCCGGCAACGGCGCCAGGAAAAGGUCUUGAUAACCCACAAGUAUAGGGGAUCGCAACAGUUUUCGAGGGUAGAGUAUUCAACCCAAAUUUAUGGAUUUGACACAAGGGGAGCCAAAGAAUAUUUGAAGAUAUUAGCAGCUAAGUUGUCAAUUCAACCACACCUAGAGAUUAAUUAUCUGCAGCAAGUAAUCAGUAGCAAAGUAGUUUGAUAGUUUUGAUAGUAGUGACAACAGUAACGGUAACGGUAACAGUGAUAGCAAUAUUUUUGUAGCAAGUGUAAUAGUGAAGAAAGCAGUAGUAACUUAGCAAGAUCAAUAUAGGAUAAAUUCGUUGGCAUUGGAUCAGUGACUUGUUGGAUGAUAUUCAUCAUGAGACAGUUAUAACCUACGGCAAUACGACACUAGCUCCAGUUCAUCGAUAUAAUGUAGGCAUGUAUUCCGUAAAUAGUCAUACAUGCUUUAUUAAAAGAACUUGCAUGCCAUCUUUUGUCCUACCCUCCCGUGGCAGCGGGGUCCAUAUUGGAAACUAAGGGAUAUUAAGGCCUCCUUUUAAUAGAGAACCGGAACAAAGCAUUAACUGUAGCGACCCGACCCAAAUGGAUCAAAGUCUCCGUGCUUAAGUAUCAUCCCUGGAUCAGUAUGCUGACACACACAGUACUCGAGGAUUUAUAACAGAGGUAAAUCACAUGUAUAAAGUAACGUAAAUACUAUUACCUCAAUCCAAAUAGCGGAAGUAACAACAAGGUUGUGGAUUCCCAUCAACACCAACGGCAAAGUUGAGUGUAGAAAUCGUAACCCUAACGUAUCACUUACUCGUCGUAAGAAUCCUGCAACAUGAGACGUUGCAGCCAUAUAGGUCAGUACAUUGAAUCAUGUUGGUGGUGGUGUUGAUGGGAAUCCACAAUGUACUGACCUAUAUGGCUGCAACGUCUCAUGUUGCAGGAUUCUUACGACGAGUAAGUGAUAUGUUAGGUUUACGAUUUCUACACUCAACUUUGCCGUUGGUGUUGAUGGGAAUCCACAACCUUGUUGUUACUUUCGCUAUUUGGAUUGAGGUAAUAGUAUUUACAUUACUUUAUACAUGUGAUUUACCUCUGUUGUAAAUCCUCGAGUACUGUGUGUGCCAGCAUACCGAUCCAGGGAUGACACUUAAGCACAGAGACUUCGAUCCAUUUGGGUCGGGUCGCUACAAGAUGGUAUCAGAGUACAUGUUGACUGUAGGACGUGACCCCUAGAAACUGGCAAGCCCAUAGGAAAGAUUUUCUCUCAAACUUUAUUUUCAAAAAGAUCUUUUACCUAUCUUCUAUGCUGAGCUUUAUCAAAUAUUCCCUUUUAGUUAGACUAUACCCUUUCCCCUUUUUGACCACGCGAUGAUUCCGCUGAUGAGAACCGAGAAGGACAAGAUAUCGGACAACUAAGACCACUUCGGAAUGAAGAGGAUUUUACCGUACAUUAUAAUAAUGGAAACUACAACGGUUGAAGACUCCGAAGACUAGGGGAAUUUGAAGGCUCUGAAGAAUUUCUAUAUUGGUAUGACCUAGGAAAGUUACCCUUAUGGAACUAGUCAGACUAUUGAAACUGUCAAUACCCGAGAUCAAGGUGUGUCGGAGAAAGACCGGAACAUGGAGCGUUAAAACUUAAAGUUUUUGUCAAGAAAACCCUAAGGCAAGAGAUAUCAACUAUGGAACGAUAACUCAUGGCAAUGACAUAGUCAUAAACACGGCUAUCCAUGAUGUUAUCGCCCGCUUACGCUAUUGUCACCGUGCUGAGUUGAGCAUGCAUUUAUUCGGAAGGAUUGGAUGACAAAAAGCUAAUGGAGCACCUAAUCAGCAAAAGAUGGAGUUUUUACCUUAGCUGGUGUAUUGCCAGGAUCUGGAUUAUUACAUCAAGAAUUUUAAGAUGGACCUGCAGGAAGCCGUAUUUGACAAGGAAGCAUUUCGUGAAGAACUCAGGACCCAAAAGCUGAAAGUAGCCAAGCUGGAGAAGCAAAACCUCGAGAUAUCGGAGAUUCAUCAGGAACUGAAGGACAAUAGGACCAUGGUUCAUGCCAAGGAUGUUGAAACCUAGAGGUUUGGUACGCAACUCUAGAAUAUUAAAGGACGUCACGAGAGACUUCGCUUCAACAGAGAUGAUCUGGAAAAAGAACUUGGGAAGGACAAGCACAAUCGGGAGAAGCCAUCGGAGACAUGAACAAGAUUUGAAGAGUUUGGAGACUUGAAGAUUUAAUGACCUUUAGAAGACCAAACCCCUGUUAUAUACCUAUGUUAGAUGCGACGAUUGUGAGCUGUCAUUUGUUUGAUGUUUUUUCGACAGCCACAAAGUAAAAUCUGUCUUUUCAAAACUAUUGUUUGUAUUCUGUGUAUCCCUCUCUAUAUCUCCUACCCCACCCAAAACCCUUGGAACCAAUAGAGGAAGAAUGGAGAUGAACUCAUAUUUUCUGGACCAAUGACUCAAUUGGAGACGGACCGAUGGAUUCAGAACAUGGACGAUCACAUGAAGAAUAACACUAUAGCCGGAAGGGAUAUGACCCAUCAUGCUCUUCAGUGCUUUGAAAGAGGUGUUGCUACUUGGUGGAGGAUGUAAUGAUAUGAAGAAACCCUGUGCAUGCAAGCUUUGUGGAGAAAUAGGACACAACCAUAAAGAACACAAGGAUGAAUUCCCUAAUUGUGAAGGAAGUCACCCAGCUGAAGAAUGCCCAACUAGGCAGAUUACUUGUUUCUUGUGUGAAGGAACUACCCACUACCCUGCUCAGUGUCACAUUUACCCCGUGGUUCAAAGAACCAUCCAGCAGAAGAAAGAAGCAAUGAAAGGAGCCCUCAUGGAAAUUUUAGAAGAACCUGUGAUGAAGGAAAAGGUGGAGACACAGCCGAAGAAGACCCACUUAAACCCUGCACCAAGUCAUGCUAUUCAUGUGGAGAAGAAGGACACAUCUCCCAGAAUUGCCUGAAUGGGGAUCUAGUAGCAUUCCCGACAGUGGAAGUAGAGUAUGACCCACAGUAAAUAGAAGCCCUGAUUUGGCACGGAAAAGUCCAGGAAGAGAAAUAGAGUGGAUUCUAGGAACAACCCAAUUUCUACAAAGAAGGACCUGAGUCAUAUCACAUGUUUUAGGUCAAAGAUGCAGGGCACUACUUCAGCGAUUGCCCAAAAAGGAAGCCGAGGACCCAAGGAGGCUAUGUAAUCACAAGGAAACCUCAAGACUUUUCAGAAGUAAAAUGUUUCCGUUGUGAUGAAGCAGGGCACUUUGCCAGAGAUUGUCCCAAUAAAGAUCUUCGUGUUAAAUAGUUGAGUCUGUGAGAAAUAUAGUAGUAGUAGUGGGAACAAUUCUUUUAUAUUGAGGUGUUGAGUUGAGGCAUGUAAUGGAAAUGCAGGAGAUUGAAAUAACUUGAGAAUCAAUGAAGUUAGCAUCGUUGGUACUGAUUUGGAUUUUAUGAGUUGUUACUCUAUGAAGAAAGAGUUUGACAAUUUUCGAGGAUAUGAGAAAUAUGGUCUAUGGAUGAAUUUGUGCAUUUCAAGGGUGGUAGUACCCUAUGAGGACACUUGACCUCUGGAAAAGAUAGUGAUAUUCCACGGAGUGGACUUCAGACAGAAUGAGUAUGAGUUUUGUCUCGAUAUUAGGGGUAUCCCAAGAGGAUGAAGAGAUGAAGUACUAUUGGAUAAAGGAUGUAUGAUGUUGGAAAUAUGGAGUAAUUGUAACACCAUGAUGAGUCUGAGUAAUCACGUCUUAGUUUGGUACCAGUAGAAGGAAGAGAGACAGUACAAUUGGAUGGAUUUAAGAAUGCUGGGAAGCUGGAUGUUGGAAUAAGAUCAGUUGCCCCCGAUGAUGAGUUCAAGGUUUACAAAGUGAUGAGAUGGGCCAUAACCCACAGGCCCCAGGACCUGCCAAGAAGCAAGCACACUCUUGCUGAAGGAAAAACCCUAGAAGAAGUUACGACUUUAUAGAUAGACGAUCUUAUAGGAGUUACGCAAAACCCGAGAGUUGUGAAGGAAUGAUAGAUGUUCGUUUGGCUUGCAGAAUCCAUGAAUUUAUCCGAACUUAGCUCGUCGACAAGAGAAAUUCUGCAAUGCUUGUGAGGAUGACCGAGUGUUAGAAUGCGAGAUUCGCUAAACCAUAUACAAGGUAAUGAUUUGGGUGCGGGAUGGAUUGAUCACCGUACCGACUUACUCUUAUUGUUCGCCUUGCUAUAUGGAUGGUAAAUCUGAGUGACUUACCCAUAGUAGAGCGACGAUGAUCAAAACUUUGUUUAAGCCUUAGAAUGGUAUAACAAUUUUUUCCCUUGUACAUGGCAGCUAUUGCCAAUCGUAGGAUAUACGAUGAGAAUGAAGCCCAGACCCAUUUCCUGCAGGAGAAACCAUAAAUUGUUGACCACCAUGAGAUAUCGAUAGUUGUUUAGUAUUGGCGCCAGACCCGUCAGCUAAGAAGCCCAGUCACAGAGGUACCGUACCAAGAUGAAAUGGACACAAGAAUUGAGGGAAAAGGUUAUGCCACUACCGGAAGAACCAGAGUAGAAAUUUUCCCAAGAAUCUGAGAAGACCGACACUGUCAUGAAUAAGGAUGGAGUAUAUGAGUUUUGAUGGAACCAUAACCAUGUUUCUAAGGGUGGUAGCACCCCAGACCCCAUGUGACGAUCAAUGGAUUUUGAGAAGACCCCGACCUAACCUAUUUCUUGGUAGCCUCUCCGAAUCUCGAGGGCGAGAUUCAUUUUAAGGGUGGUAGGUUUGUAACAUCCCAAAAUUCUAAAUUUUGGAAUGUUAUAUUAAAUAAAUAGUUUUGAUUGUUUGUUUGAUUGUGGUGUGGUUGCUGUGUGAAAUUGAGUGAAAUUUGAAACUUUUUGAAAGUUAAAUGAGAGGGAAUAAAAGGACUUUCCCGAACUUUCACUUUGCAUUCCGAUCUCCAUGAAUUCAAAUUUUUUCAAAUACAAAACCCUAGAGAGAAGAUGACAUGACUUCUUCCAUUUAAAAUGAAAAGGGUUUUUGAAAAUAUUUGAAUUUCAUUUGGAAAUAUUUCAAAUUCAAAAACUUUAUGCAACUCAAUGAUUUUCAUGAGAGAAGAUAAAAUGACUUCUUCAAAUUAUAUGAAAUAUGAGUUGGAAGUUAAAAGAAUCAAAUUUAAAGUCCCUUUGAAAUUAUUUUUCAGUUUGGAGUUAUUUAGUUUUUAUUAAAAUUAUUUUUCUCCGAAAAUAAAAUAUAUGAAAAUUAGGGUAAAAUGAUUCCCUACAGUAGAAAAUUGGAGAUAAAUAAAUUUGAAAUUAUUUUGGUAUUUUUAAAAUGAUUUUAUGAGGUUUUAUUGCACCAGUAGCACUGUUUGAUUUAUUUGAAUUUUUGUGGAAUUUAUUUGACGCUAGAAAAUUUUCAUGAUGUAGAAAAUAUUUUUGUUAAAACUUUGAUAUAUAAUAUGCCUAUAUAAAGUUUUAUUUUUGUUUUUGAUAAUCAGUUUUUCCUUUUCUGCUUCUAUUUAAAAAACAAACUGCAUGUGCGGCUUAUAACUAUCCGUUGCCCUCGUGCGCAGCAUAGUCAGCAGACAGGCCCGUAACUAUUUUUAUUUAUUUUUCGGUUAUGCUUGGAGAGAAAAAAAUAUUAUUUUCAGAAAUAUUUUUUUUCUUAAAAAAAGUUCAAAAAAAAGAAGAAAAAAACUGCUGCGCGCGUGCGCCGGCCGGCGAAGCACUUUAGCCCGUGCGUUUUUCUCUUUUCUAUUUUUACGUCUACGUUUAGUCCGACAUUGCCUAGCCUUUAACCCCUAAACCUUUUUUCCAUCUAUAAAUAUAAAUAUAGAUUCAUAGAGCCUCCAAAAAUCAUCCGAUUUGGGUUAAAUCAAUAUUUUAGUUUGACUAGAUUCAUUAAAGAAAAAACAUUUUUCUCUUCGGGACUUUUGGAAGUUGUCUCCUUUCUUUGAAGUCGUCUUUUCUCUACCUUAUAAAGGUACUCCCUCCGUUCCAAAAUACUUGACUUCCAUUUGUUCAAAAAUGGAUGUACCUAUAUACUAAAACAUGUCUAGAUAUAUCUAUAUUUUGACAAAUGGAAGUCACGUAUUGUGGAACGGAGGGAGUAUCUUUCUUCGUUUUUAUACUUCCGUAGUUUAUUAUUUCUAGACUGGUACGGUAGAAUAAUUAGAUUAUCAAUUAGUCUCUGUAUUUAUACAUUAGACCUAGAAUUCUUUUAAGCCGUAGUUAUUUUCUUCCAUAAAACAGCUUGGCCUUGAUUUUUGAAAUAGCCAUAACUUUUUACUCAUUCAUCUAAAUUAGAUGAAACCAGCACCUAUAGUUUCGUCUUGUUUUCACCUAUCUAGUGAACCUGUCAUAUCAACUUUUUGAAAUUUUCAAAUUUCAAAAUUUGUUUAGAUUCAUAUUCAAACUUCUUUUGUUCAUAACUUGAGUUCUAUAACUCCGAUUUAAUUGAUUCUUUUUGCUAAUUGAAGCUCUUGACCUAAACUUUUUGAUAAGGCCAAAUUCACUUAAUUUUGGUACUGUUAGAAAUUAUUUUCUGUUGCAAGAGUUAAUUGUUUGUUUUUGAAGUUUUCCGAGAUCUUUUCUUCGAUUCUUUUGCAUGAUUGCUUAUGUGUGGUUACUAUUGCUUGCUUAUGAUAGAUUGAACGGAGUGUGACGAGUAGAACUAUCAGGAGUUAUGAGUGCGAAUCAUCUUCAUCAACACUACAAGGCAAGUUCACACUUUGAUCAUAUCCCUUCAUUACCCAGUUUUUAUGCAUUAGUCUUAUCCCCAAACAUUGCAUGAGUAGGAUUGAUGACAUGUGGGUAUUGGGAAGUAGUUGAUGAGGUAGGAACCUAUUGCCUUACAUUCAAACCUUGGGUGUUAUUACGUUAUGCUUAUACUGCUAUGCUAUGCUCGUAGACGUGGUUUGGUUUUGAGAGAAUUCAUGAAAGAUGUGAGAGUUAUUGUUAACUAAGGUUUAACUUAAGGUGGCUACUUUGAUACACAUCUGGGUGGAAUGGUUGGGGCACCCAGUGCCUAGGGAUACCAGUGGAUUUCCCGGGCACCUGGGGAAUCCAGUGUUGUCCAAGGAGAUCCCGGGGUACCCGUGUGAUCAUCCUAUGGUUCGCCACCCAGGCUCAAAGGGAUCAUAAGAUUAUUCAUGCUAGAAACUUCCGUGUGCAGCCACAAGCCAUUAUGGGCUCUGGCAUAGUUGAGUAAGUUGUGGGAAUCCUUUCCAUGAUGGGCUAGCAGAUGUAGGGGAUUGUAGGUGUACCGGCCUAUCUAUCGGUUAAGGGGACCUCUUCAGAAAGACUAUGUCUCGGUCAUCCGUUUCUCAAACACCAUGCAGUGUGAGAAAUACAACGGAGGAGAUCGAGUCUUGUGGGGAAAAGUGCGCAAACCUCUACAAAGUGUACAAACUAAUCAUGAUUAGCCGUGUGCCCGGUUAUGGACAUCUUGAGUAUCUGGUACUUAAAUUAUUGGUUUGAUCUCAUCACGUUACUUAAAUAAUUUGUUGGGUUAUUGAUGUUAAUUUGGGAUUGAGUUGGGGUUACCUUCUCAAUAUUUUCAACAAACUUUGUAGUUAAAUAAAAUUUAUUCCUUUGUUGUAGGAAAAAAUUGGCUUUAUUCAAAAAUAAACUUAGAGCCUCCACCAGCCAAAUAUGCAUGUAGUGAUAGCUAUUAUUCAUCAGUGAAUUUGCCAGUACAUUCAAUGUACUGACCUAUAUGGCUGCAAUGUCUCAUGUUGCAGGAUUCUUACAAAGAGUAAGUGAUACAUUAGGGUUACAAUUUCUAAACUCAACUUUGCCAUUGGUGUUGAUGGGAAUCCACAACCUUGUUGUUACUUCCGCUAUUUGGAUUGAGGUAAUAGUAUUUACGUUACUUUAUACAUGUGAUUUACCUCUGUUAUAAAUCCUCGAGUACUAUGUGUAUCAGCAUACCGAUCCAGGGAUGACACUUAAGCACAGAGACUUCGAUCCAUUUGGGUCGGGUCACUACAUUAACACGUAGUGAAUACAUGAACUCCUCAAACUACGGUCAUCACCGGGAGUGGGCCUGGUUGUUGUCACUCCGGGGUUGCCGGAUCAUAACAUGUAGUAGGUGAAUAUAACUUGCAAGACCGGAUCUAAAACAUGGAUAUAAUGAUGAUAACAUAAACGGUUCAUAUCUGAGUUCAUGGCACCCAGGCCCAAAGUGACAAGCAUUAAGCAUGGCAAAGUCAUAGCAACAUCAAUCUAAGAAUAUAGUGGAUACUAAGGAUCAAGCCCUAACAAAAACUAACUCGAUUACAUGAUGAAUCUCAUCCAACUCCUCACCGACCAGCGAGCCUAUGAAGGAAUUACUCACUCCCGGUGGGGAGCAUCAUGGAAUUGGCGAUGGAGAAGGGUUGGUGAUGACGAAGAACGAAGAUCCCCCUCUCCGGAGCCCCAAACGGACUCCAGAUCUGCCCUCCCGAGGAAGAACAAGUCUUGGCAGCGGCUCCGUCUCGUGGAUUGUCAUAUUUCUUUCUCCCUGGUUUUUUUCUGUAAAAUAGGAUUUUAUAGUGUCGGUUUCAGGGUCUGCGGGGCCACCAGGUGGGGACAACCCACCUGGGCGCGCCAGGAGAGGGGGGCGUGCCCUGGUGGGUUGUGCCCACCCAGGGGCCCCUCUCCAGUAGGUCUUGGCUCCAGAAAUUCUUAUUUAUUGUAUAAAAAUUCCUCGCAAAGUUUUGUUCCAUUCCGGGAACUUUUAUUUCUGCACAAAAACAACACCAUGGUAGUUCUGUUGAAAACAGCGUCAGUCCGGGGUUAGUUUCCUUCAAAUCAUGCAAAUUAGAGUCCAAAACAAGAGGAAAAGCGUUAGGAAAAGUAGAUAUGUUGGAGACGUAUCAACUCCCCCAAGCUUAAACCUUUGCUUGUCCUCAAGCAAUUCAGUUGAUAAACUGAAAGUGAAAAACAAAAACUUUUACGAACUCUUUUGCUCUUGUUUGCAUAAAUAAGCUUAAACAACACCCAGGUUUUUAGCCAAUCAUUAUAACUAAGCAUGUCGACAAUAACUCUUAAAGAUUAUAUUAACUCAUAUCAAUGACAUAAUCAGCUAGCGAGCGAUAAUAAGUUAUCUCAAACAGCAACACGUUGUCAAAACAACCAUGAUAUAAUAUGACAAUAGUGGUAUCUCGCUAGCCCUUUCCGAGACCGCAAAACAUAAAUGCAGAGCACCUCCAAAGUUCAAGCAGCGACUAAACAUUGUAAUUCAUGGUAGAAAAGAUCCAGUCAUGAUGCAGCCAACAUUAGCUACACACAAUGCAUAAAUCAUGACAACUGUGCUCUCUCAGUUUCUGGCGCUUGUUUAAGAAGGUGAUGACACAACAUAAAAGUAAAUAGAUAGUCCCUUCAUAGAGGGAAGCAGUGAUUUGCAGAGGUGCCAGAGCUCAGGUUUUUAAAACAAGGAUAAAUGAUAUUUUGAGACAUGCACCCUUCUCAUUUACGUCACGACCAUCAGUAUUAAACUUUUGUUUUGAAUCUUAUGGAUCUGAAUAUUCUUGCCACAAUAUUAAACUUUUGUUUUGAAUUUUUAUGUCAAUAUUAAACUUUUGUUUUGAAUCUUAUGGAUCUGAAUAUUCUUGCCACAAUAAUUACAUUGAUAAAUAUGUUAGGUAGCAUUCCACAUCAAAAAUUCUGUUUUUAUCAUUUACCUACUUGAGGACGAGCAGGAAUUAAGCUUGGGGAUGCUUGAUACGUCUCCAAUGUAUGUAUAAUUUUUGAUUGCUCCAUGCUAUUAUAUUAUCCAUCUAGGAUGCUUUAUAUGCAUUUAUAUGCUAUUUUAUAUGAUUUUUGGGACUAACCUAUUAACCCAGAGCCCAGUGCCAGUUUCCGUUUUUUCCUUGUUUUUGAGUUUUACAGAAAAGGAAUACCAAACGGAGUCCAAUUUACGUGCCAAUUUUUGAUAAAUUUUUAUGGACCAAAAGAAGCCCCCGGAGCAAAAUUGUUGGGCCAGAAGAGUCCCGGGCCGUCCACGAGGGUGGAGGGCGCGCCCUACCCCCCUGGACGCGCCCCCUGCCUCGUGGACGACUCGGAGACCCCCCUGACGUGAGACCGAUACCAAAAAUUCCUAUAAAUAUAGAAACCCCCGAAAAGAAACCUAGAUUGGGAGUUCAGCCGCCGGAAGCCUCUGUAGCCACCAAAAACCAAUCGGGACCCUGUUCCGGCACCCUGUCGGAGGGGGGAUCCAUCACCGGUGGCCAUCUUCAUCAUCUCGGCGCUCUCCAUGACGAGGAGGGAGUAGUUCACCCUCGGGGCUGAGGGUAUGUACCAGUAGCUAUGUGUUUGAUCUCUCUCUCUCGUGUUCUUGAUUUGGCACGAUCUUGAUGUAUCGCGAGCUUUGCUAUUAUAGUUGGAUCUUAUGAUGUUUCUCCCCCUCUACUCUCUUGUAAUGGAUUGAGUUUUCCCUUUGAAGUUAUCUUAUCGGAUUGAGGCUUUAAGGAUUUGAGAACACUUGAUGUAUGUCUUGGAUGUGCUUAUCUGUGGUGACAAUGGGAUAUUCACGUGAUCUACUUGAUGUAUGUUUUGGUGAUCAACUUGCGGGUUCAGUGACCUUGUGAACUUAUGCAUAGGGGUUGGCACACGUUUUCGUCUUGACUCUCCGGUAGAAACUUUGGGGCACUCUUUGAAGUACUUUGUGUUGGUUUGAAUAGAUGAAUCUGAGAUUGUGUGAUGCAUAUCGUAUAAUCAUACCCACGGAUACUUGUGGUGACAUUGGAGUAUCUAGGUGACAUUAGGGUUUUGGUUGCUGUGUGUCUUAAGGUGUUAUUCUAGUACGAACUCUAGGAUAGAUCGAACGGAAAGAAUAGCUUCGUGUUAUUUUACUACGGACUCUUGAAUAGAUCGAUCAGAAAGGAUAACUUUGAGGUGGUUUCGUACCCUACAAUAAUCUCUUCGUUUGUUCUCCGCUAUUAGUGACUUUGGAGUGGCUCUUUGUUGCAUGUUAAGGGAUUGUUAUAUGAUCUAAUUAUGCUAUUAUUGUUGAGAGAACUUGCACUAGUGAAAGUAUGAACCUUAGGCCUUGUUUCGAAGCAUUGCAAUACCGUUUGUGCUCACUUUUAUCAUUAGUUACCUUGCUGUUUUUAUAUUUUCAGAUUACAAAAACCUAUAUCUACCAUCCAUAUUGCACUUGUAUCACCAUCUCUUCGCCGAACUAGUGCACCUAUACAAUUUACCAUUGUAUUGGGUGUGUUGGGGACACAAGAGACUCUUUGUUAUUUGGUUGCAGGGUUGUUUGAGAGAAACCAUCUUCAUCCUACGCCUCCCACGGAUUGAUAAACCUUAGGUCAUCCACUUGAGGGAAAUUUGCUACUGUCCUACAAACCUCUGCACUUGAAGGCCCAACAACGUCUAUAAGAAGAAGGUUGCGUAGUAGACAUCAAGCUCAUUUGUGGCGCCGUUGCCGGGGAGGUUAGUGCUUGAAGGUAUAUCUUUAGAUCGUGCAAUUGAAUCUUUUUUUCUCGUUUUAUCACUAGUCUAGUCUAUAAAAGAAAACUACAAAAAAAUGGAAUUGAGGUUGCCUCAUAUGCUUCAUCUUUUUAAUAUCUUUCAUGAAAAUGAUGGAAAGGAAAAUUGUGCCCAAGUGCUAGAAGAAGAAUGCAUUAAAAUGUUUGGCACUAAAUCUUUGAAUGAUGAGCAUGAUUGCAAUGUUGUUAGUAUGAACUCUUUGAAUAUCCAUAGUACUAAAGAUGAUUGCACUAGUCAUGAUGAAAAUGUCUCUUAUAAGCAUGUCAAUUUUUGUGGAGUGCAUAGAGUUUGCAAGUACACACCAAAUAGGGAAGAUAGAUUUUGCAAGAGGCAUAAGUAUUUAGAAACUAAAUGGUUGCAAGAGAGGCUAGAUGCUCGUGCUGAAAAUUUAAAAUUUCUUUGCCAUCCUUGUGAACUUUGCAAUGAACGUGACCAUUUAAAUCUCCAAUGCAAAUUGUUUGAUGAUCGUAUCAUGUCCAAAAAUUGUGAUGACUUGAUUUCCCUUGCGCAUCAUAAUGAACUUAGUUUGCUUGUGGGUCCUUGAUAAAGUUCUUGAUUUUGAUCUAGAGGAAAUUUAUAUGUAUUGUGCGGUGAAUUGCAUUGAAAAUCCUUAUAUUGCCAAUUACAUAAAUACAAGAAAACAAAUAGAAGAUGAAGAGAAUACUAAUGAAAGGGAAGGGACUUCCCAAUAUCCUCCUAUUAUUUCUUAUGAUGAAUCAGGUAACGAGGAGGAGCCUUCUGUUCAACCAAUCUCAUUAAUAAGGAGCUCCAAAAAGAGGAUUAAACCCACACAUGAGGCGAAGAAGAAAAAGAAAAGACGGAGAAGCAAAGGUAAAAAGGCAUCCCUCCCAAAUGAUGUUGCUCCUACUACUCAUUGUGAUGAUAAUAGUUGCUAUACUAUUGGUGCUAUCCAUACUGUUAAUGAUGGGAGUGAUUAUGCUUAUGAUAUGAAAAGUCCCAAGCUUGGGGAUGCUAUGUUUGAUGAGAAUGACAUGUUUGAGAAUUUAUUUGCUGUAAUUAAUGUUUGUCCCAAGCUUGGGGAUGCUAUGUUUUAUGAAGAUGAUAUUUUUAACCUCCCAAGUUUUGAUAUGCAAUUUUUUUAUGAUGAUAGCAUGCCUCCUAUUUAUGAUGAUUAUAUUGAUGAAAGUGGAUGUGGAGAGGUCAUGACUUUAUUUAGUAAUGAUUCCACUAUCUUGGAAGAGGUUUCAAUUGAUUAUGAUGAGAACAAAGUUGCUACUUAUGAUGAUUAUUGUGAUGACACUUAUGCUAUAAAAAGUAGUGAUGAUUAUAUUUAUAAAACUUGUCAUGAUUAUGAUUACCCUUUUUCUGAACAUUACUCUUUUAAUGUGGAAACAAUUUAUAGUAUUCGAGUUUCUUAUGAUACUCCCACUAUUCCGAAUGAGAAGAAUUUUGCUUAUGUGGAGAGUAAUAAAAUUUAUAUUCUUGGGGAUCAUGAAAAGAAUGCUUUAUGUGACGGUUAUAUUGUUGAAUUCAUUCAUGAUGCCACUGAAAAUUAUUAUGAGGAAGGAAUAUAUGCUUGCAGGAAUUGCAAUAAUAUCAAGUUUCCUCUCUAUGUGCUUAAAAUCUUGAAGUUAUGCUUGUUUUGCUUUACUAUGCUAGUUGAUUCUUGUUCCCAUAAAUUUUUUGCUCACAAAAUCCCUAUGCAUAGGAAGUGGGUUAGACUUAAAUGUGCUAGUCAUAUUCUUCAUGAUGCUCUCUUUAUAUUUCAAUUCUUAUCUUUUAUGUGAGCAUCAUUGAAAUCAUCAUGCCUAGCUAGGGGCGUUAAACGUUAGCGCUUGUUGGGAGGCAACCCAAUUUUAUUUUAUUUCUUUGCCUUUUGAUCCUGUUUAGUAAUAAAUAAUCUAUAUAGCCUCUGGUUAGAUGUGGUUUUAUGUUUUAAUUAGUGUUUGUGGCAAGUAGAACCUUUGGGAAGACUUGGGUGAAAGUUAAUGCGAUCUUGCUGUAAAAAACAGAAACUUUGCGCUCACGAGAUUAGCUGUCAUUUUUUACAGAAGAGUGAUUUUAAGUUGAUUACUUUUGAAGAAGAUUAAUAGACAAAUUCCUCAAGUCCACCAAUUUAUUUCAGAAUUUUUGGAGUUACAGAAGUAUUUGAGAGUUACAGAUUACUACAGGCUGUUAUGUUUUUGACAGAUUCUGUUUUCUAUGUGUUGUUUGCCUAUUUUGAUGAAUCUAUGAGUAGUAUCGGAGGGUAUGAACCAUAGAGAAGUUGGAAUACACUAGAUACUACACCACUAUGAAUUUAGAAUGAGUUCACAACAGUACCAAAAGUGGUGAUUUAUUUCAUAUACUAACGGAGCUUAUUAGUUUUCUAUGGAGUUUUGUGUUGUGAAGUUUUCAAGUUUUGCGUAAAGAUUCGAUGGACUAUGGAAUAGUUGCAAGAGCCUAAGCUUGGGAAUUCCCAAGGCACCCCAAUGUAAUAUUCAAGGACAACCAAGAGACUAAGCUUGGGGAUGCCUUGGAUGGCAUCCCCUCUUUCGUCUUCGUUCAUCAGUAACUUUACUUGGGGCUAUAUUUUUAUUCACCACAUGAUAUGUGUUUUGCUUGGAGCAUCAUUUUAUUUUAUUUUGUUUUGCUUGCUGUUUGAAUAAUAUCCCAAUAUCUGAAAUUCUUAAAUGUUAGAGAGUCUUCACAUAGUUACAUAACUAUUCAACUACUCAUUGAUAUUCACUUAUAUCUUUCGGAGUAGUUUGUCGUUUGCUCUAGUGCUUCACUUAUAUCUUUUUAGAGCACGGGGUGGUUUUAUUUUGAAGAAAUAGAUGAACUCUCAUGCUUCACUUAUAUUAUUUUGAGAGUCUUUUAGAACAGCAUGGUAAUUUGCUUAGGUUAUGAAUUUAGUCCUAAUAUGAUGGGCAUCCAAGAGGGAUAUAAUAAAAACUUUCAUAUAAAGUGCAUUGAAUACUAUGAGAAGUUUGAUUCCUUAUGAUUGUUUUGAGAUAUGAAGAUGGUGAUAUUAGAGUCAUGCUAGUGAGUAGUUCUGAAUUUGAGAAAUACUUGUAUUAAGGUUUGUGAGUCCCGUAGCAUGCACGUAUGGUGAACCGUUAUGUAACGAAGUUGGAGCAUCAGAUAUUUUUUGAUUGUCUUCCUUAUGAGUGGCGGUCGGGGACGGGCGAUGGUCUUUUCCUACCAAUCUAUCCCCCUAGGAGCAUGCACGUAGUACUUUUUUUCGAUGACUAAUAGAUUUUUGCAAUAAGUAUGUGAGUUCUUUAUGACUAAUGUUAGUCCAUGGAUUAUACACACUCUCACCGUUCCGGCAUUGCUGGCCUCUCUAGUACCGCGCAACUUCCGCCGGUACCAUAAACCCACCACAUAUCCUUCCUCAAAACAGCCACCAUACCUACCUAUUAUGGCAUUUCCAUAGCCAUUCCGAGAUAUAUUGCCAUGCAACUUUCCACCAUUCCGUUUAUUAUGACACGUUCCAUCAUUGUCAUAUUGCUUUCCAUGAUCAUGUAGUUGACAUCGUAUUUGUGGCAAAGCCAUCGUUCAUAAUUCUUUCAUACAUGUCACUCAUGAGUCAUUGCACAUCCCGGUACACCGCCAGAGGCAUUCAUAUAGAGUCAUAUUUUGUUCUAAGUAUCGAGUUGUAAUCCUUGAGGUGUAAAUAAAUAGAAGUGUGAUGAUUAUCAUUAUUAGAGCAUUGUCCCGUGUGAGAAAAAAAAGAGAGAGGCCGAAGAAGCCAAACAAAAAAAACAAAAAAAGGGAGAAAAAGAGAGAAGGGACAAUGCUACUAUCCCUUUUCCACACUUGUGCUUCAAAGUAGCACCAUGAUCUUCAUGAUAGAGAGUCUCUUAUUUUGUCACUUUCAUAUACUAGUGGGAAUUUUCGUUAUAGAGAUUGGCUUGUAUAUUCCAAUAAUGGGCUUACUCAAAAUGCCCUAGGUCUUCGUGAGCAAGAAAGUUGGAUGCACACCCACUUAGUUUCUUUUGUUGAGCUUUCAUACAUUUAUAGCUCUAGUGCAUCCGUUGCAUGGCAAUCCCUACUCACUCACAUUGAUAUCUAUUGAUGGGCAUCUCCAUAGCCCAUUAAUACGCCUAGUUGAUGUGAGACCAUCUUCCUCCUUUUUGUCUUCUCCACAACCACCACUCUAUUCCACCUAUAGUGCUAUGUCCAUGGCUCACGCUCAUGUAUUGCGUGAAAGUUGAAAUUUUUUGAGAAUACUAAAGUAUGAAACAAUUGCCUGGCUUGUCAUAGGGGUUGUGCAUGAUCUGAAUAUUUUGUGUGAUGAAUAUGGAGCAUAACCAGACUAUAUGAUUUUGUAGGGAUAAGCUUUCUUUGGCCAUGUUAUUUUGAGAAGACAUAAUUGCCUUGUUAGUAUGCUUGAAGUAUUAUUAUUUUUAUGUCAAUAUUAAACUUUAGUUUUGAAUCUUAUGGAUCCGAAUAUUCUUGCCACAAUAAUUACAUUCAUAAAUAUAUUAGGUAGCAUUCCACAUAAAAAAUUCUGUUUUUAUCAUUUACCUACUCGACGACGAGCAGGAAUUAAGCUUGGGGAUGCUUGAUACGUCUCCAACGUAUCUAUAAUUUUUUAUUGUUCCAUGCUAUUAUAUUAUCCAUCUAGGAUGUUUUAUAUGCAUUUAUAUGCUAUUUUAUAUGAUUUUUGGAACUAACCUAUUAACCUAGAGCCCAGUGCCAGUUUCUGUUUCUUACUUGUUUUUGAGUUUUACAGAAAAGGAAUACCAAACGGAGUCCAAUUGACGUGCCAAUUUUUGAUGAUUUUUUAUGGACCAAAAGAAGCCCCCGGAGUAAAAUAGUUGGGCCAGAAGAGUCCCGGGCCGUCCACGAGGGUGGAGGGCGUGCCCUACCCCCUGGGCGCGCCCCCUACCUCGUGGAUGACUCGGAGACCCCCCUGACGUGAGACCGACGCCAAAAAUUCCUAUAAAUAUAGAAACCCCUGAAAAGAAACCUAGAUCGGGAGUUCCGCCGCCGCAAGCCUCUGUAGCCACCAAAAACUAAUCGGGACCCUGUUCCGGCACCAUGCCGGAGGGGGGAUCCAUCACUGGUGGCCAUCUUCAUCAUCCCGGCGCUCUCCAUGACGAGGAGGGAGUAGUUCACCCUCGGGGCUGAGGGUAUGUACCAGUAGCUAUGUGUUUGAUCUCUCUCUCUCUCUCUCGUGUUCUUGAUUCGGCACGAUCUUGAUGUAUCGCGAGCUUUGCUAUUAUAGUUGGAUCUUAUGAUGUUUCUCCCCCUCUACUCUCUUGUAAUGGAUUGAGUUUUCCCUUUGAAGUUAUCUUAUCGGAUUGAGUCUUUAAGGAUUUGAGAACACUUGAUGUAUGUCUUGCAUGUGCUUAUCUGUGGUGACAAUGGGAUAUUCACGUGAUCUACUUGAUGUAGGUUUUGGUGAUCAACUGGCGGGUUCAGUGACCUUGUGAACUUAUGCAUAGGGGUUGGCACAUGUUUUUGUCUUGACUCUCUGGUAGAAACUUUGGGGCACUCUUUGAAGUACUUUGUGUUGGUUUGAAUAGAUGAAUCUGAGAUUGUGUGAUGCAUAUCGUAUAAUCAUACCCAUGGAUACUUGUGGUGAGAUUGGAGUAUCUAGGUGACAUUAGGGUUUUGGUUGAUGUGUGUCUUAAGGUGUUAUUCUAGUAUAGACUCUAGGAUAGAUCGAACGGAAAGAAUAGCUUCGUGUUAUUUUACUACGGACUCUUGAAUGGAUUGAUCAGAAAGGAUAACUUUGAGGUGGUUUCAUACCCUACAAUAAUCUCUUCGUUUGUUCUCCGCUAUUAGUGACUUUAGAGUGGCUCUUUGUUGCAUGUUGAGGGAUUGUUAUAUGAUCUAAUUAUGCUAUUAUUAUUGAGAGAACUUGCACUAGUGAAAGUAUGAACCUUAGGCCUUGUUUCGAAGCAUUGCAAUACCGUUUGUGCUCACUUUUAUCAUUAGUUACCUUGUGUGUGUUGGGGACACAAGAGACUCUUUGUUAUUGGGUUGCAGGGUUGUUUGAGAGAGACCAUCUUCAGCCUACGCCUCCCACGGAUUGAUAAACCUUAGGUCAUCCACUUGAGGGAAAUUUGCUACUGUCCUACAAACCUCUGCACUUGGAGGCCCAACAACGUCUACAAGAAGAAGGUUGCGUAGUAGACAUCAAGCUCUUUUCUGGCGCCGUUGCCAGGGAGGUUAGUGCCUGACGGUAUAUCUUUAGAUCUUGCAGUCGAAUCUUUUCUUCUUGUUUUAUCACUAGUAUACUCUAUAAAAGAAAACUACAAAAAAAAUGGAAUUGAGGUUGCCUCAUAUGCUUCAUCUUUUAGACAUGUGUUAAUCGGAAACUUGAUACAUGUGUGAAUACAUAGACAAAACAAAGUGUCCCUAGUAUGCCUCUACUAGACUAGCUCAUUAAUCAAAGAUGGUUAAGUUUCCUGACCAUACAUGUGUUGUCAUUUGAUGAACAUGAUCACAUCAUUAGAGCAUGAUGUGAUGGACAAGACCCAUCCGUUAGCUUAGCAUUAUGAUCGUUGAGUUUUAUUGCUAUUGCUUUCUUCAUGACUUAUAAGUGUUCCUCUGACUAUGAGAUUAUGCAACUCCCGAAUACCGGAGGAACACCUUAUGUGCUAUCAAACGUCACAACGUAACUGGGUGAUUAUAAAGAUGCUCUACAGGUGUCUCCGAAGGUAUUUGUUGGGUUGGCAUAGAUCGAGAUUAGGAUUUGUCACUCCGUGUAUCGAAGAGGUAUCUCUGGGCCCUCUCGGUAAUGCACAUCACUAUAAGCCUUGCAAGCAAUGUGAUUAAUGAGUCAGUUGCGGGAUGAUGCAUUACGAAACGACUAAACAGACUUGCCGGUAACGAGAUUAAACUAGGUAUGAUGAUACCGACGAUUGAAUCUCGGGUAAGUAACAUAUCGAGGACAAAGGGAAUGACGCAUGUUGUUAUGCGGUUUGACCGAUAAAGAUCUUCAUAGAAUAUGUAGGAGCCAAUAUGAGCAUCCAGGUUCCACUAUUGGUUAUUGACCGGAGAUGUGUCUCGGUCAUGUCUACAUAGUUCUCCAACCCGUAGGGUCCGCACGCUUAACGUUCGAUGACGAUGUGUAUUAUGAGUUAUGUGAUUUGAUGACCGAAGUUUGUCCAGAGUCCCGAAUGAGAUCACGGACAUGACGAGGAGUCUCAAAAUGGUCGAGAGGUAAUGAUUGAUAUAUUGGACGAUGUUAUUCGGACACCGGAUGAGUUCCGAGAGGUACCGGAUAAUUAUCGGAGUGCCGGAGGGUUAUCGGAACCCCCGGGGGAACUAAUGGGCCUCGAUGGGCCUUAGUGGGAAGAGAGGAAGGGCCAAGAGGGGCUGGCCGCGCGCCCCACUUGGGUCCAAAUUGGACUAGGGGAAGGGGGUGGCGCCCCCCUUUCCUUCCCUUCCCCCUCUUCCUUCCUUCUUCCCCCUCUUCCUUAGGUGGAAACCUACUAGGACUUGGAGUCCUAGUAGGAUUCCCCUCUCUCGGCGCGCCCUAGGAGGGCCGGCCGGCCUCCCCUCCCCCCUUUAUAUACGGGGGCAGGGGGCACCCUAGAACACACAAGUUUCUCUUAACCGUGUGCCGUGCCCCCCUCCACAGUUACAAACCUCGGUCAUAUCGUCGUAGUGCUUAGGCGAAGCCCUGCGCCGGUAACUUCAUCAUUACCGUUGCCACGCCGUCAUGCUGACAGAACUCUCCCUCGGCCUUAACUGGAUCAAGAGCUCGAGGGACGUCAUUGAGCUGAACGUUACCUGAACACGGAGGUGCCGUACGUUCAGUGCUUGGAUCGGUUGGAUCACGAAGACGUUCGACUACAUCAACCGUGUUACUAAACGCUUCCGUUUUCUGUCUACGAGGGUGCAUGGACACACUCUCCACGCUCGUUGCUAUGCAUCUCCUAGAUAGAUCUUGCAUGAUUGUAGGUAAUUUUUUUGAAACACUGUGUUCCCCAACAGUGGCAUCCGAGCCAGGUCUAUGCGUAGAUGUUAUAUGCACGAGUAGGACACAAAGAGUUGUGGGCGAUAAUAGUCAUACUACUUACCAGCAACGUCUUACUUCGAUUCGGCGGUAUUGUUGGAUGAAGUGGCCCGGACCGACAUUACAUGACCACGUUCAUGAGACUGGUUCUACCGACGUGCUUCGCACACAGGUGGCUAGUGGAUGUCUAUUUCUCCAACUUUAGUUGAAUCGAGGUUGACUACGCCCGGUCCUUGUUGAAGGUUAAAACAACACACUUGACAAAAAAUUGUUGUGGUUUUGGUGCGUAGGUAAGAACGGUUCUUGCUAGAAGCCCGUAGCAGCCACGUAAAACUUGCAACAACAAAGUAGAGGACGUCUAACUUGUUUUUGCAGGGCUUGUUGUGAUGUGAUAUGGUCAAGACGUGAUGAGAUAUAAAUUGUUGUAUGAGAUGAUCAUGUUUUGUUAAAGUUAUCGGCAACUGGCAGGAGCCUUAUGGUUGUCUCUUUAUUGCAUCAGAUGCAAGCGCCAUAUAAUUGCUUUACUUUAUCGCUCUGCAAUAGCAAUAGUUGCAAAAGCAAUAGUUGGCGAGACGACACGUUGAUAAAGAUCAAGAUGAUGAAGAUCAUGGUUUCAUGCCGGUGACGAUGGAGAUCAUGACGGUACUUUGGAGAUGGAGAUCAAAGGCACAAGAUGAUGACAGCCAUAUCAUGUCACGUAUUUUGAUUGCAUGUGAUGUUUAUCUUUUAUGCAUCUUAUUUUGCUUAGUACGACGGUAGCAUUAUGAAUGAUCCCUUACUAAAAUUUCAAGGUAUAAGUGUUCUCCCUGAGUACGCACCGUUGCGACAGUUCUUCGUGCCGAGACACCACUUGAUGAUCGGGUGUGAUAAGCUCUACGUUCACAUACAACGGGUGCAAGCCAGUUUUGCACACGCGGAAUACUCAGGUUAAACUUGACGAGCCUAGCAUAUGCAGAUAUGGCCUCGGAACACUGAGACCGAAAGGUCGAACGUGAAUCAUAUAGUAGAUAUGAUCAACAUAGUGAUGUUCACCAUUGAAAACUACUCCAUCUCAUGUGAUGAUCGAACAUGGUUUAGUUGAUAUGGAUCACGUGAUCAUUUAGAUGACUAGAGGGAUGUCUAUCUAAGUGGGAGUUCUUAAGUAAUAUGAUUAAUUGAACUUAAAUUUAUCAUGAACUUAGUCCUGAUAGUAUUUGCAUAUCUAUGUUGUAGAUCAAUAGCUCGCGUAUACCUUCCCCGUUUUAUUUAUGAUAUGUUCCUAGAGAAAACUAAGUUGAAAGAUGAUAGGAGCAAUGAUGCGGACUAGGUCCGUGAUCUGAGGAUUAUCCUCAUUGCUGCACCAAAGAAUUAUGUCCUUGAUGCACCGCUAGGUGACAGAACUAUUGCAGGAGCAGAUGAAGACGUUAUGAACGUUUGACAAGCUCGGUAUGACGACUACUUGAUAGUUUAGUGCACCAUGCUUUAUGGCUUAUACCGGGACUUCAAAAAUGUUUUGAAAUGUCACGGAGCAUAUGAGAUGUUCCAAGAGCUGAAAUUGGUAUUUCAGACUCAUGCCCGAGUCGAGAGGUAUGAGACCUCUGACAAGUACUUUGCGUGCAAGAUGGAGGAGAAUAGCUCAACCAGUGAGCAUGUGCUCAGAAUGUCUGAGUACUACAAUCGCUUGAAUCAAGUGGGAGUUAAUCUUCCAGAUAAGAUAGUGAUUGACAGAGUUCUCUAGUCACUAUCACCAAGUUACUGGAACUUCGUGAUUGAACUAUAAUAUGCAAGGGAUGACAAAAAUGAUUCCCCGAGCUCUUCGCGAUGCUGAAAUCGGCGAAGGUAGAAAUCAAGAAAAGCAUCAAGUGUUGAUGGUUGACAAGACCACUAGUUUCAAGUAAAAGGGCAAGGGAAAGAAAGGGAACUUCAAGAAGAAUGGCAAGCAAGUUGCCACUCCCAUGAAGAAGCCCAAAGCUAGACCCAAGCCUGAAACUGAGUGCUUCUACUGCAAAGGAAAUGGUCACUGGAAGCAGAACUGCCCCAAAUACUUGGCGGAUAAGAAGGAUGGCAAAGUGAACAAAAGUAUAUAUGAUAUACAUGUUAUUGAUGUAUACUUUACUAGUGUUCAUAGUAGCCCCUGGGUAUUUGAUACUGGUUCGGUUGCUAUCAUUAGUAACUUGAAACAGGAGUUACAAAAUGAACAGAGACUAGUUGAGGGCGAGGUGAUGAUGUGUGUUGGAAGUGAUUCCAAGGUUGAUAAGAUCACCAUGACACACUCCCUUUACCUUUGGGAUAAGUGUUGAACCUAAAAUAAAUGUUAUUUGGUGUUUGCAUUGAGCAUAAUAUGAUUGGACCAUGUUUAUUGCAAUACGGUUAUUCAUUUAAGUCAAAGAAUAAUUGUUAUUCUGUUUACAUGAAUAAAACCUUCUGUGGUCAUACACCGAAGGUGAAUGGUUUAUUGAAUCUCGAUCGUAGUGAUACACAUAUUCAUAAUAUUGAUGCCAAAAGAUGCAAAGUUCAUAACGAUAAUGCAACAUAUUUGUGGCACUGCCGUUUAUGUCAUAUUGGUGUAAAGCCCAUGAAGAAAGUCCUUGCUGAUGGGCUUUCGGAAUCACUUGAUGCUUGCGAACCAUUCCUAAUGGGAAAGAUGACUAAGACUCCGUUCUCCGGAACAAUGGAACGAGCCACUGACUUAUUGGAAAUAAUACAUACCAAUGUAUGCGGUUCGAUGAGUGUUGAGGCUCGCGGCGGGUAUCAUUAUUUUCUGACCUUCACAGAUGAUUUGAGAAGAUAUGGGUAUAUCUACUUAAUGAAACAUAAGUCUGAAACAUUUGAAAAGUUCAAAGAAUUUCAGAGUGAAGUAGAAAAUCAUCGUAACAAGAAAAUAAAGUUUCUACGAUCUGAUCGCAGAGGCGAAUAUUUGAGUUAUGAGUUUGAUAUUUAUUUGAAACAAUGUGGAAUAGUUUCGCAACUCAUGCCACCUGGAACAGCACAGCGUAAUGGUGUGUCCGAACAUCGUAACCGCACUUUAUUAGAUAUGGUGCGAUCUAUGAUGUCUCUUACUGAUUUACCACUAUCGUUUUGGGGUUAUGCAUUAGAGACAACUACAUUCACGUUAAAUAGGGCACCAUCUAAAUCCAUUGAGACAACACCGUAUGAACUAUGGUUUGGCAAGAAACCUAAGCUAUCGUUUCUUAAAGUUUGAGGCUGCGAUGCUUAUGUGAAAAAGCUUCAACCUGAUAAGCUCGAACCCAAAUCGGAGAAAUGCGACUUCAUAGGAUACCCAAAGGAGUCUGUUGGGCACCUUCUAUCACAGAUCCGAAGGCAAGAUAUUCGUUGCUAAGAAUGGAUCCUUUCUAGAGAAGGAGUUUCUCUCGAAAGAAGUGAGUGGGAGGAAUGUAGAACUUGAUGAGGUAAUUGUACCUUCUCCCGAAUUGGAAAGUAGUUCAUCACAGAAAUCAGUUCGAGUGAUUCCUACACCAAUUAGUGAGGAAGCUAAUGAUGAUGAUCAUGAAACUUCAGAUCAAGUUACUACCGAACCUCGUAGGUCAACCAGAGUAUGGUUCGCACCAGAGUUGUACAGUAAUCCUUUCUGGAAGUCAUGUUACUAGACCAUGACGAACCUACGAACUAUGAGGAAGCGAUGAUGAGCCCAGAUUCCGCGAAAUGGCUUGAGGCCAUGAAAUCUGAGAUGGGAUCCAUGUAUGAGAACAAAGUAUGGACUUUGAUUGACUUACCUGAUGAUCGGCGAGCCAUUGAGAAUAAAUGGAUCUUCAAGAGGAAGACAGACGCUGAUAGUAGUGUUACUAUCUACAAAGUUUGAAUUGUCGCAAAAAGUUUUUGACAAGUUCAAGGUGUUGACUACGAUAAGAUUUUCUCACUUGUAGCGAUGCAUAAGUCUGUCCAAAUCAUGUUAGCAAUUGCCACAUUUUACGAAAUCUGGCAAAUGGAUGUCAAAACUACAUUCCUUAAUGGAUUUCUUAAAGAAGAGUUGUAUAUGAUGCAACAAGAAGGUUUUGUCAAUCCUAAAGGUGCUAACAAAGUGUGCAAGCUCCAGCGAUCCAUCUAUGGACUGGUGCAAGCGUCUCGGAGUUGGAAUAUACGCUUUGAUAAGGUGAUCAGAGCAUAUUGUUUUAUACAGACUUUUGGUGAAGCCUGUAUUUACAAGAAAGUGAGUGGGAGCACUACAGCCUUUCUGAUAAGUAUAUGUGAAUGACAUAUUGUUCAUCAGAAAUGAUGUAGAAUUGUCUGGAAAGAAUAAAGGGGUGUUUGAAAGGAGUUUUUUAAAGGAAGACCUCAGUGAAGCUGCUUACAUAUUGGGCAUCAAGAUCUAUAGAGAUAGAUCAAGACGCUUGAUAAGUUUUUUUUUCAAUAAGUACAUACCUUGAUAAGAUUUUGAAGGAGUUCAAAAUGGAACAGUCAAAGAAGGAGUUCUUGCCUGUGUUGCAAGGUGUGAAGUUGAGUAAAGACUCAAAACCCGACCACGACAAAAAAUAGAAAGAGAAUGAAAAGUUAUUCUCUAUGCCUCAGUCAUAGGUUAUAUAAAGUAGCUAUGUUGUGUACUAGACCUAUUGUGUACCUCACCAUGAGUUUGGCAAGAGGGUACAAUAGUGAUCCAGGAGUGGAUCACUGGACAGCGGUCAAAAUUAUCCUUAGUGGAAUAAGGAAAUGUUUCUCGGUUAUGGAGAUGACGAAGAGUUCGCCGUAAAGAGUUACGUCGAUGCAAGCUUUGACACCAAUCUGGAUGACUCUAAGCCUCGAUCUAGAUACAUAUUGAAAGUGGGAGCAAUUAGCUAGAGUAGCUCCAUGCAGAGUAUUGUAGACAUAGAAUUUGCAAAAUACAUACGGAUCUGAAUGUUGCAGACCCGUAGACUAAAAUUUCUCUCACAGGCAAAACAUGAUCAUACCUUAUUACUCUUGGGUGUUAAUCACAUAUCGAUGUGAACUGGAUUAUUGACUCUAGUAAACCUUUUGAGUGUUGGUCACAUGGCGAUGUGAACUAUGGGUGUUAAUCACAUAAAGAUGUGAACUAUUGGUGUUAAAUAACAUGGCGAUGUGUACUAGAUUAUUGACUCUAGUGCAAGUAGGAGACUGAAUGAAAUAUGCCCUAGAGGCAAUAAUAAAGUUGUUAUUUAUAUUUCCUUAUAUCAUGAUAAAUGUUUAUUAUUCAUGCUAGAAUUUUAUUAACCGGAAACUUGAUACAUGUGUGAAUACAUAGAAAAAACAAAGUGUCCCUAGUAUGCCUCUACUAGACUAGCUCGUUAAUCAAAGAUGGUCAAGUUUCCUGACCAUAGACAUGUGUUGUCAUUUGAUGAACGGGAUCACAUCAUUAGAGAAUGAUGUGAUGGACAAGACCCAUCCGUUAGCUUAGCUUUAUGAUCGUUGAGUUUUAUUGCUAUUGCUUUCUUCAUGACUGAUGCAUAUUCCUCUGACUACGAGAUUAUGCAACUCCCGAAUACCCGAGGAACACCUUGUGUGCUAUCAAAUGUCACAACAUAACUGGGUGGUUAUAAAGAUGCUCUACAGGUGUCUCUGAAGGUGUUUGUUGGGUUGGCAUAGAUCGAGAUUAGGAUUUGUCACUCCGUGUAUCGGAGAGGUAUCUCUGGGCCCUCUCGGUAAUGCACAUCACUAUAAGCCUUGCAAGCAAUGUGACUAAUGAGUUAGUUGCGGGAUGAUGCAUUACAGAACGAUUAAAGAGACUUGUUGGUAACAAGAUUAAACUAGGUAUGAUGAUACCGACGAUUGAAUCUCGAGUAAGUAACAUACCGAUGACAAAGGGAAUGACGUAUGUUGUUAUGCGGUUUGACCGAUAAAGAUCUUCGUAGAAUAUGUAGGAGCCAAUAUGAGGAUCCAGGUUCCACUAUCGGUUAUUCACCGGAGAUGUGUCUCGGUCAUGUCUACAUAGUUCUCGAACCCGUAGGGUCCGCACGCUUAACGUUUGAUGACGAUGUGUAUUAUGAGUUAUGUGAUUUGAUGACUGAAGUUUGUUCGGAGUCCCGGAUGAGAUCACGAACAUGACGAGGAGUCUCAAAAUGGUCGAGAGGUAAAGAUUGAUAUAUUGGACGAUGUUAUUCGGACACCGGAUGAGUUCCGAGAGGUACCGGAUAAUUAUCGGAGUGCCAGAGGGUUAUCGGAACCCCCGGGGGAACUAAUGGGCCUCGAUGGACCUUAGUGGGAAAAGAGGAAGGGCCAAGAGGUGCUGGCCGCGCCCCCCCUUGGGUCCGAAUUGGACUCGGGGAAGGGGGCGGCGCCCCCCUUUCCUUCCCUCCCUCUCUUCCUUCCUUCUUCCCCCUCUUCCUUAGGUGGAAACCUACUAGGACUUGGAGUCCUAGUAGGAUUCCCCUCUCCUGGCGCGCCCUAGGAGGGCCGACCAGCCUCCCUUCCCCUCCUUUAUAUACGGGGGCAGGGGGCACCCUAGAACACACAAGUUUCUCUUAACCAUGUGCGGUGCCCCCCUCCAUAGUUACACACCUCGGUCAUAUCGUCGUAGUGCUUAGGCGAAGCCCUACGCCGGUAACUUCAUCAUCACCAUCGCCAUGUCAUCGUGCUGACGGAACUCUCCCUCGGCCUCAACUGGAUCAAGAGCUCGAGGGACGUCAUCGAGCUGAACGUGUGCUGAACACGGAGGUGCCGUACGUUCGGUGCUUGGAUCGGUUGGAUCGCGAAGACGUUUGACUACAUCAACCGCGUUACUAAAUGCUUCCGCUUUCAGUCUAUGAGGGUACAUGGAAAAACUCUCCCCGCUCGUUGCUAUGCAUCUCCUAGAUAGAUCUUGCGUGAUUGUAGGUAAAGUUUUUGAAAUACUGCGUUCCCCAACAGGAUGCCAUCCGGGGCAUCCCCAUGCUUAGAUGCUUGGUUGUCCUUGAAUAUUACCUUGGGGUGCCUUGGGCAUCCCCAAGCUUGGGCUCUUGCAACUCCUUAUUCCAUAGUCCAUCAAUUCUUUACCCAAAACUUGAAAACUUCACAAGACAAAACUCAACAGAAAACUCAUAAGAUCCGUUAGUAUAAUAAAAUAGAUCACCACUUUAGGUAUUGUUGUGAACUCAUUCUUUAUUUAUAUUGGUGUAAUAUCUACUGUAUUCCAACUUCUCCAUGGUUCAUAACCCCCGAUACUACCCAUAGAUUCAUCAAAAUAAGCAAAUAACACAUAGAAAACAGAAUCUGUUGAAAACAGAACAGUCUACGAAGAUCUGAAUUGUUCUCAUACUUAUGUAACUCCAAAAAAUCUGAAAUAUUGGGACAACAUAGGAAAUUUGUAUAUCAUUCUUGUGUAAAGAAUUCAGAGUUUUUCCAUGCUCCAGUGAAUUUAAACAAUUCUGUUACUGGACGUAAAAGUUUCUGUUUUUCAGCAAAAUCAAAUCAACGAUAUACCAAAGUAUCCCAAAGGCUUUACUUGGCUCAAACACUAAUUGAAACACCAAAACAUAAUUACUACGGAGGUAAUAAUGUAUAUUUAUUGAAAAUAGUAGCAAAGAUAAUAAACAUAAAAAUAAAAUUGGGUUGCCUCCCAACAAGCGCUAUUGUUUAACGCCCCUAGCUAGGCAUAUUGCAAUAGAUCUAGGUAUUGUCAUCUUUGGUAUUCUUUUUCAUAGAUGUGUUCUUGUCAGAAGGCUUUGCAAAGAUAACUUGGAACACAUUAUCCAUAUAAAUUUUGGCAUCAUUAAGCUGCCCAUAUACGUACCCCCUUUGAUUUCCGUCUACAAUGCAAGAAUACUGUUGAUUAACAUCAUUGAAAACUUGUUGGAUCAUAUCUAAAACAGGGAUUUUCUUUUUGAGGUUUUCAUCAAAGAUUUGAUUACUUCCAAACAAAUGUCUCAAAGUAUAGUCACUAUUGUAAAUGAUCUCAUCUAUCACCGGUUUUUCAUGGCUCAUACCAUAAUGAUCAAAAAUUUCCCUAGCUUCCCGUACUAUGUGAUCAAAUUCAUUCUUAAGAACUUGGGACACUAUCAUUUUAGCCUUAGGAUCCUUUAUAAUGGGUAACUCAUAAAAUAAUCUUUGCAAGGUAGGAUGAGUAUGAAUAAACCUUCUUUCAAAUUUCAUAACUAGUGCUGAAAUAGCUUCUGCAUAAGUUUUAGUUCUUUUAAGUAUGGGAGUGUCAUCGAGAGGCAGAUUGCCUACACAAUUGAAAAAUUCUUGUAUAUGUUCUUCUCCCAUAAAAUUCCCUUGCCCCAAAACAAAAGUUUUAGCAUCCAAAUUGCCGGUCAAUCCAAUUUUAGGAGUUAGGCCAUCAUCUGUUUCUGCCAUACCAAAGUCACUCAUGAUGAUGAGUUCAAGCAAACAAAAGAUCGGACAAAAAGAGAGGCGAAUAAAAAGGCAAAUAUUUUUGUGAUUUUCUGAAAUCGUUUUAGAAGUGGGGGAGAGUAAAACGAGAGGCAAAUGGCAAAUAAUGUAAUGCAAGAGAUGAGAGUUUAUGAUGGGUACUUGGUAGGCUUGACGUAGAACCUCCCCGGCAACGGCGCCAUAAAUUCUUUCUGCUACUUCUUGAGCUUGCGUUGGUUUUUCCCUUGAAGAGGAAAGGGUGAUGCAGCAAAGUAGAGGCAAGUAUUUCCGUCAGUUUGAUAACCAAGGUAUCAAUCCAGUUGGAGGUACGAGCAAGUCUCCAAUCUAUGCACCUGCACAAACAAUCAAACACUUGCACCCAACGCGAUAAAGGGGUUGUCAAUCCCUUCACAGUCACUUGCAAGUAGGAGAUCUAAUAGAGAUGGAUAUUAAAUAUUACUAAAACGUAAAACAAAGUAAAAACAAAUAAAUUGCAGCAAGGUAUUUUUGGGUUUUUGGUUUUAUAGAUCUGAAAAUAUAUGAUGGAAAAUAGACCCGGGGGCCAUAGGUUUCACUAGAGGCUUCUCUCUUGAAGAAAGCAUACGGUGGGUGAAAAUAUUACUGUUGAGCAAUUGAUAGAAAUGCGAAUAAUUAUGAUGGUAUCCAAGGCAAUGAUCAUGAAUAUAGGCAUCACGUCCGUGACAAGUAGACCGACUCAUGCCUGCAUCUACUACUAUUAAUCCACACAUCAACCGCUAUCCAGCAUGCAUCUAGAGUAUUAAGUUCAUAAGAACGGAGUAAUGCCUUAAGCAAGAUGACAUGGUGUAGAGGGAUAAACUCAAGAAAUAUGAUAUAAACCCCAUCUUUUUACCCUUGAUGGCAACAAUACAAUACAUGCCUCGCUACCCCUACUAUGUCACUGGGUGAGGACAUCGCAAGAUUGAACCCAAAACUAAGCACCUCUCCCAUUUCAAGAAACACCAAUCUAGUUGGCCAAACCAAACCGAUAAUUCGAAGAGAAAUACAAAGAUAUUUAAUCAUGCAUAAAAGAGUUCAGAGAAGACUCAAAUAAUAUUCAUAGAUAAUAUGAUCAUAAACUCACAAUUCAUCGGAUCUCAACAAACACGCCGCAAAAAGUAUUACAUCGAAUAGAUCUCCAAGAACAUCGAGGAGAACAUUGUAUUGUAGAUCAAAGAGAGAGAAGAAGCCAUCCAGCUACUAGCUAUGGACCCGUAGGUCUGUGGUAAACUACUCACGCUUCAUCGAAAGGGCAAUAGAGCUGAUGUAGAAGCCAUCCGUGAUUGAAUCCCCCUCCGGCAGAUCGCCAAAAAGGCCCCAAGAUGGGAUCUCACGGGAACAGAAGCUUGAGGUGGCGGAAAAGUAUUUUGGUGGAUGCCUCUGGUGGUUUGGGAACAUUUUAGGAUUUAUAGAGCUGGGAUGGAGGUCGGUGGACUCCCGAGGGGCCCACCAGCCAGGGGGUGUGCCCCCUAGGGCGCGCCCUCAGGGCUUGUGGAGCCCUCGGGACUCUUUUGGCCCUCUCCCCAAGUCUUCUGGUCCGAAAAAAUCACCACGAAAGUUUUAUUCCGUUUGGACUCCGUUUGAUAUUCUUUUCUGUAAAACUAAAAAACAAGGAAAAAUAAAUAAAAACUAGCACUGGGCUCUAGGUUAAUAGGUUAGUCCCAAAAAUAAUAUAAAAUAGCAUAUAAAUGCAUAUAAAACAUCUAAGAUAGAUAAUAUAAUAGCAUGGAACAAUAAAAAAUUAUAGAUACGUUGGAGACAUAUCAGUGGUCUGCUUCCUUUUGCAUCCGUCAACAUAUGUGUGUUGUUCUUAUUAUCUUUACAUGCCUAUUUGGCGAGGGAGCCCACAUUGUCUAUACAAAUAUACAUGCCGCCCAGAAUUCAGAUUUUAAUGUAAGAUUAUAAAGAAGAAGAGAUAACAUAUUGUACCGAGUUAAUAGCAUACCAUUUUUUGUUAUUGCAUGAUCUGAACGGUGGCUACAUGCCGCCCAAAAGUUAGGUAAGAACAAAAAUGGAUGCAUAUAUGUAACAAUAUAAUUGGGUUCAUCAGAACUAAUUAAUGUUUAUUUUUAUGAGAAAUAAACAUUUGCACGUGUUCUUCAGUUAGUUGGGUUGUUAGAUUGCUGCUUCUCUUUCUGUUGGUUUAUGAUCUUUUGAGUGCAGAAUGUUAACAAGUUGCUGCAUCAUCAUGGCUAAGGUGUCAAUACCCCUAAGUAAGCCACCUCUUACUUUAAGAGUAGCAUAGUGAGUGUCCUCUUUACACUCCAUAACACAGAUGAACAAUAGAGCAUCACUUUUCAGUACCAUCAUACUAACCCCACCUAGGCAUGUAACAAACAACCUGGUACUCAAUCUGGGCAGAGUUGCAAAUAAUAAAAAUCAUAUUUAAAGGCAAUGUUACAUGGUCUUAUCAUACUUUUCAUACCUUAGUUUGACAACAGAAAAUGGCUGGCAAGAUAUAUCACAUGCACUCACAGUCAGAGAUUCAUAUUCUACUCCGGACGGGCCACACACAUAAUUGUUCCUGGACCGGGCAAGGUAGCAUAUGGGCCUUUCAAAUACCUAUGUUUGACACGAAGAGGGAUUUUUUUAGUGCACAUGAAAAAUAAAA
rnacentral:lncRNA from 1 species